rnacentral:lncRNA from 1 species
UUCAAGUUCAGUUCAUACUUUUAUUAUUAUUGGUGGCCAUUUCUUCUGUGCCCUCUUCUUCCUGUGCCAGCCAGGUCAUGUACGCGACUCUCGUCGCGAAAAAUAAAACCUGAGAAAUCGAGAAGGGUUUGUGUAAGGCUGCAUACAUGUUUGUUGUAAUAUGGGAAAACAGAGAAGAGGUUGUUACAGUGGAUUGAGGUAAGAGGAGAAAGUCUCUCCAUAUUGAUUUGAAUUGUUAUGGAUAUUCAGAGUUGUGAAAUAAAAAUGGCUGAGAAAGAGUAGGUUGCAGAGAAAUGUGUAUGUAUAGGGAUGAAUUUGGAGACCAUAAUUCAGGGUUGCAUAGACAGUAGUGACACUUUCUGUUGCUGCUGCUGCUGCAUGUUUGUGGAGUUUAUUGUUAUUGUGUCUCUUAUAUCAUACUUUUUUUUUUGUUGCUUUAAUUUUGUUUCUUUAUAGUAUAAUUUAUGAACAUUUUACAUGUAUUGAUUUUCUGAAUUGAGGUAAUUCCUUUCUCGUAUCAGUGUCCCAAAAUGUGUUCCUCUGCCAUGAGAAUGUUGUGUGCUUUUGCUUCACUUACCAAAUCUCUCUGCAUUUAAGUGAUGUGACUCCAUGCUAAUGACAUAAACUUCUUUUCUCAUAUGAUCAAUUAUAUGUUAGUUUCAACUUCGAUAGAGACCUCCAAACCCCCAUAUCUUUUUUUGGAUUUUAAAUAUGGUUUUAGCCAUAACCACUGGCUUAGCAAAACAAUAUUUUCAAUGAUAAUUCCUUUACAACAUACUACGUGGAGGAGGGGUUAUGGAAUUAGUAAGAUGUUGCUUUGAAUAUUUUAUUUUAAGAACUUAAUAAUUUAAGCCGGAGUUAAGCAUCUAAUUAUGGUUGUUAUCCUCAAUCUUCUAUCUAGGUCACCUCCAUUAUCUAUAGUUUAGAGGACCCAAUUCAGGUCAUGGUGGUGGGACCUGAAUAGCCAUCCCAAGAAUCAUUAAAGAUUUCAUUUAUUUAAUUUUGUGUGAAGCCUUCUUUUUCACUUGAUUAGCAGUAUGUUUAAGAUUGCCCCCCAUGUGCACCCUUCGUCACAAUAAUUCAGAUUUGAAUUCAUAUCUGUUUAAUUAAUGCACACUUUCCCCCCUAUGGAAUUGUGAACAUAAACACUGUUAAGCUUGUGGAAAGGAAAGCCCGUUCAGUUACAAGUUUCCUUCGCAUUGUGCCUCGUCAAGCUAACUUUCAAAGUUGCUUUUCCCUCGUGUUUGAACACACUUCUUUAGUUUCUUGUUACCAUAUUGGCUCAACCAAAACUUACUUUCGGCCUUAAACAACACAAGUUGCUUUUUUAUUAUUCUAAAACUACUUUUUUUAGAUGAAAAAAAGUAUUUACAUAUAAAUUACUUCACUUUAAAUUUAUUUUUAAACAAGAUUAAUUUACAAAAUCAAAAUCCUAAAUUAAAGUUUGUCAAUUGAAACAUGCUUUUUUUAUUCAAAUGGCUUUUGACUUUAAUGACAAAAAAAUGCUUUUGUCUUUUGCUUUUUGUUGGUUGCGCCUCUUCUGUGCUCUACCCCUUUCAUCACCUGCCUUCCUCGGGUGUUGUCCACUGAAACUGUCUCACAUAAAUGUAAAUGCAAGAUGAAAGUGAAACUGUUGUUUCGAACGACCAAGAGCCAACUCAAAUGAAGCUCUACUGUUUCUGGCUUAUCACUUUGAAGCCCAUUGAUGUGAUUUGUUCAUAAAUUCGGAUAACAUCUCUAGCCCAAGUAAUUCUUGGGGUAUUCAUUCUUACAAGAGACCUUAUAGUUACAAGGAAAAUUUUCCACACAAUUAAAAUUGGGACAACUUGUAGGAUAUAUUUUUUACACGUGUAAAAAAGAUAAAAAUAAUUGUUUAUAAUGUCACAUAUAAUGUCAAUUUUUUUAUGUUGAGAUAAUGAACUGCAAUUACAAGAGACACUUGGACUGGGUUCAAUAUUUGCUUCUCAUCAAAGAGCUCGCAGCUUUCAUGGCAACUUCUUUCUAAUUCCAUGGUGCAUUCCGUCCAUUAUUUUCCUCUUGUUAUUUAUUUGUUCUUGAAGAGAGACACGGAGUUGAAUAGAAAGAUACAUAGCUACUUUUCCAUCAUAUUAGGGAAAAAGAGAGGUGGCAUCUAAUAAAUUUGUUUGCACUUGUGAGAAAAAUGCACCAGCGGUUGCUAGUAGCGCUUUAAAUGUAUUUGCUUUAACGUGUUUGCUGAUAGGUGUCUCAACUGACUGAGGAUAUUUUAAGGGCCGGGAAUCAAGAGUAGAAUUUUUUUUUUAUAAAAAAUAUAAUUAAUGCACACUAUCAUGAUUUUUAAUUUAUUUUCAAUGUGAUUUUUUUAUAAAACUUUAUUAUUAUUUUCUUAAUAAUGUCUUUAGGGAAUUGGUGAGCCACAUCCCUAUUUCUCUUUUAACCUUUUUCUUACACAUUAGUACCCACAUAUUGGACCAGUUAAAAAAAAAUUAGCUGGACUCAUAAAACAAACUUGAUCUUCUAUAUAUGAAUCAAUUUCUUAUAGACCAUUUAAAUAUAUGCAUGAAAAGAAUUUCCCUUUUCAAAAUUUCUAGAUGUAGAGGGCAACUUUGGUCCUUGGAUCACUUCCUCCACUAUGGAAACCAUGGCAAGUUAGAUGAAAGUUCUAUAUACCUCGGUGGGUUUGGCAUUGAAUUAAUUCGCGAUACCCUUUGUGUUAGGGGAAGGGAAAAAGUGGAAAGUAAAAGCAUACAACUUCCAAUUGCCCUUGGAUGAAAGGGAAAAUGAGAAAAAAUUGCAACACAAGCAGGGCAUAUCCCACCACCGAAUGGAUAGUGACGUAAAUUGAAUGGCCCCUCCAUAUAUAAAUUCACAUGGCCUGUAAAGGCUUUUCGCAUCCAACAUGCAAUGAAAAAUAUUAAUGUUAGAAGUUGGUUGACUUGUUCUAUGCCUCAACCAGGACAUAAGUAUUCAUUUAAUUAGGGUUCAAGGACAGCCUGUGAUUAGGUCAAGCAUAUUUAAUGGCAUUUCAUAAAGUGACUCAUCAUAUUGACCCCAUUGUCACAUUAAAAGGAACAGACAGGUCUCUCUUUCAAGCAAGAUAAAAGAAAACACACCUAUGAAUUUACAAAUUUAUAGGAAAUUUCAUUUUUCAAACGAACUGAGAUUUACCACUACCCUUUAACAGAUGCCCCACUAUUUCGAAUCUCCCCAUAACAAAUAAUAUUCAGUUUUUCCCCUUUGUUGUAAUCUGAUUAUAGGAAACAACGUUUUCAACUUAUAGGAAACAAUAUACAUAUAUAUGCAAGGAUUUGGUUGCAUAUAAUGGUCAUCUUUCAUACUUUCAUUUCACAUAGCAAGGAACCUUCUACUUCUAGUAUUAGAGUAUGCUAGUUAUUGGCAUUUGGUUAGUUAGAAAACACACUAACAUCUUAUGGUAUUGUUGAUAAACACUCAGGUCUCUUAAGUAAGUAUGUGAAUAAAAAUUCAAUAUUUAAGUUUAUGCAUACGAAGGCACAUUUAUUAAAACAGGUUAAUUUCCUAAAUUUUUAUAUCUUGAGAAAUUAAUUCUUAAUUCUUGACAAAAUAUAUCCUUACCUUUUUUUUUUUAAAAAAAAAAAACAGAUCCUAGACACUAAUUUUUUUAUCAAUAAAUAUUAACUAUUAGUUUAUUCAUUUUUAUUAGUAAUGAAAUUUAAACUCACGGUUCUCUCUUCUCCCUAAACUCUAGAUAUGAUGCAAUGCAAUCGAGCUUAGGUUAAUAUUAAUGUGGGUGGUGCCAUAAAAGGAACACCAUGAAAGCAAAAUGAAUGGAAAGCAAGGAGGGAUUUAACUCCUUUAAACUUAUAGGUAAUUCAUUAAUUGAUGAAGGGCAAGAGGGUGGGCAGUGCCAACUAAUUUAUAUAUGCAUAUACCUAAUNNNNNNNNNNNNNNNNNNNNNNNNNNNNNNNNNNNNNNNNNNNNNNNNNNNNNNNNNNNNNNNNNNNNNNNNNNNNNNNNNNNNNNNNNNNNNNNNNNNNGACAAUUCAAAUUAAAUUACCCUAGGGAGAGUAAAAAGUUUUGCCGCAAUUGAUGGGUCAAUGAAAAAGUCAUAAGUGAGUAUAACCCCAAUUGCUACCCUUUUCUUAGCCCCCAGGGAAAAGAAAAAAUAAAUAAAAAUGAAAGGGAUGUUAGAGGAAAAUAAAAACCUUGGAAGAAAAUGAUGUUAGCUCCCACUUUUGUUAGGAUUUUGAUGUAGCAAACACAAGAAUAAGACCCAUUGUAAUUUCCAUCCACAGCUUAUUCAAUUAGUAGGAGUUUUCUAUCAUGAGAAUAUUUGCUCGUGAUUUGUGUAUUUGAUUUGUAGUUAUUUUCCAAUACGUUGACAUGCUCAUGUCAUUUAUUAUGCAAUUCUAUUUACGUAAUUUGUAUUGAACGUACAAGACUAUAAAUACGGUAUUUGAAUUUAAAUAGUUCCAUCUAUGUCUUCCUUUAAUUCAAGUAUGAAUUAUCCAACUCAUAUAAGAGAAAUUCUUGAGUGAUACUGAAAUGCACAUCAGUGAUAACAGACGGUAGUGCACACCAUGGCAAUUUUUUUUAACUGUUAUCUCUAAUUCGAAUGUAGAAAAAAUAUAGAAAAUUAAUUUUGUCAUAAAUUCACUAGGACCGAAAUACGUAAAGCAUGCUUCUAGCAUGUUAUUUUUACAACAAUAAAUUACAUUUAAAGGCUCUGUUUGUUUAAUCUUAAAGAAUAUUACUAUUUUUUUAUAUUUUUCAAAAGACUUAUACAAUCGUUAUAAUUUUUUUAAAAAAAAUCGCUACAAUUUUUAAACUUCGAAGCCCUGCAUUUAUGCACUUUGAUGUUUUAAAAAUUUACAGUCUUCGUUUCUCUCAUAAUACCAAUAGCACUACAGUGUACAACUACUAAUAAUUUAAUUAAAACAAGUAAAGAGGUGAGCACUCGUGAUAAUGUUCGGCGUAAACAAGUCACCGACAAUAUUCGCGUGAUUUCCUAAUGUUUUGUUUUGUCUUGUUUACACACGUGUUGUGGCGCCUCUUGUUUCUGUUUUUAGUUUCAUGCUUCUUCUUCUUUUAUUUGCAAUGUUGCCGCAUAUUACUUACUCUCCAUUAGUGUGAAAUAUUUUCUUAGUUUCUAAUUAUAAGAUAUUUUUAGGAAAUUUAUUUCUCAAUUUUUAUAAUUUUUUUAAAAAAUUUAGAUGUAUUUGUUAUUUUUUUACAUAUUUUUACUUAAUUACUCUCUUUCCAGCAUUAAUAAAAAAUAAUUAAGUGAAUUAAAAAAUAAGAAAAAAUAUUUUAAAAUAAUACAAAUAAUAAAUAAAUUUAACGUGAUUAAUUAAAUUAAUUACUUUUUCUAAGUGACAUAAAUUAGUUAAAAAGGUUUUAUAAUUAAUAACCAAAGGACUAAUAUUUUACCCAAUUCAAAAGCCUCUAAUAUUAAUGCAUGUUGGUAAAAUUUAUGUAUUAACAACUAGAAUAUGCCUAUAAAAAAAAUUAACAGCUAGAAUAUGCCUAUUAGAGUGCUGCUAAAUGUUCAAUGAAAAAAUUGUGUCCGAUACUGAAUCUCAAAGUAUAAGUAAAUUGAAAGAUUUAACAGUCUAUGUGCUAAGUUGAUUUAAAUUAAAAAGAUAAAAUGUUGUUUAUCAUGUCAUUGAAGUCAAUUCCUAAUAUCAUUGCUUACGAGUUAUCCAUGGCUGGCAGUAGUCUAUAUCACUUGUAUUCUUGUGUCACAUGACUAUUAUUAGAGGACAAUUUUUACUAAGGCCCAAUAAUUUAAGGCCCUCAUAUAUAUAUAUAUAUAUAUAUAUAUAUAUAUAUAUAUAUAUAUAUAUAUAUAUGUUGGUUUGUCAUAUAUAAGGCCCUUCUAUCUUCAUCGUUCAAAGUUUUUAGGUUUUUUCACCGGUUGAUCAUACAUUAAUUGUACUUAUUUGUAGGCUCUCCAAGCCAUUGGAUUAACCUAGUAAGUAAGCAGUUAGUGGAACUCUUCGUGUUUUUGCCAUUAAAGAGCAUUAAAAUCAACCCAAUUUUUUUUCUUCUGAUAAACAGUCCAGUGAGGCAAUCAAUUCAAGGCAUAUAACUUCACAACAAGAGUUGGCUUGGAGGAUAAGCAAAGAGUCAAAGUCUCGUUUCUCAAAAGGGUUGAAAUAACUUGUUCAUAACGCGUUAUUAUUAUUUAUAAAAAAAUCUUUCUUACUUUUUAGUUUUUAUGAUGAACUAUUAUUAUUCUUUAAGUAGGAGACUAACGAUAUGCGCGAAGAAAACUUAUAGUUUGAUUCCCAUCAAAGGACUAGUUGUUUACAUGCAUUGAGAAUCAAAGUAUACGACUUACAAUUAUUGACUUAUCUUUGAUACGCUGACUGAAAAUUUUAUUCGAUUCAUAUUUUUAUUCUCAAUCUUGAGAGAUACCAAAUGGAGUUGCAGUGAUAAAGGACUAAAAGAUCAUAGCAAAAUAUUGAACAAAUGUAGGUGUUUAUAAGCAUUGGAAGUCCUAUUAUUCAAAAGUAACUUAUAAAGAUUUUAGUGUGCUUAAGUUGGUGUUUACUGACUUAAUUUAAAUAAUUUUUAUUAUAAAUAUUUUAGUUAAAAUUAAGUUUGAAGUGAAUUAAUUUAAUUUUAAAAAAUACUCAAAUUAUGCAUGCGUUUGGAUUAGACUUUAGAGGAUGAACCAACUUUAUCUCAAAAUUAAUGUCUCCCAUAAAGACCUUUCCGAAAGCAUAAAAACAUAAUUUCGGUACUAUAUAUAAAAAAAAAAAAGAAUGUCUUCCGAAAAUGACCUUUUCGUAAUAGGAUCAAGUUUUACAUGUUUACGAAUUUGGUCAUGGUUGCGCGGUGUUGUUUGCGUGGUGCGCAGUGGUGGUGUUGGGUGGUUCAACGGUGGUGUUAGGUGGUUGAGACAAUGUUGUUUGGGUUGACGGUGGUAUUGGCUGGAGGCAGGGCUUACUUGGGAGAGGCAUAAAUAUUUGUGUUUGUUCAGGUUUUUUGGGGUGCAGAAAGCAAAAAUGGAAAUGCCGGAAGUAAAAGCUCCGUUUAUGUUGCUGCUUUUCAGGUUUUUUUUUUUUUUUUUUAUUUAUAAAUGCUUUUCAGCUUACCAUUCUGGAUCAAAACAGAUCACCAAAAUAAUUCUGUAAAAAGAAAGACUUCAAAGUUCAAAGCCUUAUUAGGCUAAUAUUAGGUUGAACAAUUAGGAAACCUUUUUUAGAUGAACUAACUAAAAAAUUACGACAUUUAUGUAAAUACAUUUUAACGAAAAAAAGGGAAAGUUAAUUUUAAAAAAUAUUUUUGAUAAAAAUAAGGUAUUUGAAGUAUUUAAUUUUAAAAAAUCAUUUAAUAAUACAAUACUAUUUUAAUGAUGGUUUAUAAAUAUCUCAUUUUAGACUUAAUGUUGAUUGAAGAAAUUUGGGUAUUGACUAAAAUGUGUAAAUAUCUCAAUAUACUUAAUAUUAAUUGAAUAAAUUUAUUUUUAUUAGAUAAUUAAUUAAAAAAAUAUUAAUUUGGAUAUUGAAGAAAAUAUUAAUUACACAAAAAUAGAAAGAAGAUGUAAAGGUUAUUCUGGUUUUUAAGAAUAAGAGUUCAAAAUUUAUAAUAUACAAGUAAAUUAUCUUUUUUCCCAAACAUAUUGAUGUAUGUGUUGUGUGUAUGUAUGUAUGGGUUUGCUGGUAAACUAUGAAUUGUUUUUAGGAGUAGUUAGUAAGUAAUAAAGUUAUAAAUUUAUACUUGUUAAUUAAAAUACACCUAAAGGUACAAUUUGUUUUUUUUUUCCCAAAAAAAACAAGUAAAUAUAAAUAUAAUACUUCCUUUUACGAAUUAUAUUAUAAGUUACAACUUGGAAUUUGUUAAAACAUUCCUAAAGAUGUAACUUACUAACAGUCUCCAUUUAAGCUAUUAUUUUAAGACUAAGUUAGGUGAGAUUCAUUUUUAAUAUGGUAUAAGUCUAUAUUUUUUUUGUAUGCUUAUCAAAGUCUAUAAUUUUAUAUAUGUUGGAUAUCAAUUCUGUAAACUGCAUUCUCUAAAUGUCCAAACUUAGGCAUGUAAAUACUUAGAAACAUGGUUAAAAAACCUUUUAAGAUUUGAACAAUACUUUAUACUUAGAAGUUAGGUUCAAUUUGUAAAUAAAUACUUAACAUUGUUUAAACCAUUUAAUAAAUUUAUAUAACAUGUAAUUUUUUUAUUAAUUCUACUGUUGAAUUAUAAUUAUUGUUUCAAAUCCGAUAAGAACUAGAUAAUAAUAACAAAUAUAUAUUAAAAAAUACUCUUAAACUUCAUUGUUUCAAGUUCCUUUAAAAAUUAUUUAAAUCCUUUAAAAUGGGAAAUAUGUUGUCGAGUUGCAUACAUGUCUGAGCGCAUGCAUGAUCCAAACUAAAAUGUUGUUCAUGUGAAUGUCACUUUUCUAUAACAGUCUCCCAUCAAAACUCUCAAAAUAGUAGUAAUUUUUGUAGGUUAUUAAGCAAUCUGAAUUGAAAAAAACAAAAUUCACCAAACAUAGUUUUCUUUUUUAUGUUGUUUAACAUCUUUAUUUUAUUUUAAAAAGAGAAUCUUUUAACUUACUGCAAUUUGGAAACUCGAAUAACGUCAUAGUGAAUUUAGUCACGCGUUGUCAUUCUCUCUUUCCCUUUUCUUCUUUUGGUUAAAAAUGUCUUACUCUUUUAUUUUGUUUUUAUCCAAAGUUUUAUGAUUUAUCCCACACAUGUGGGUCAUGCUUCACUCGGCGGAAUAGGUAAAUUGUGUGACAGACAGAGCCAGACAGACAUAAAAUUCUUUUCAUCUUGAGGAAAAUAUAAAUUAUAUUAAACCCAAAAUAAUAUAAUAAUAAACGGGGCAUACUUCACAACUAGAGAAAAUCAAAAGUCUCUUUAAUACAAAAAGACCUAUAUCAAGAUGCUAAAACAAAUGCAACAGGUGCGUUUGUUUAUACAUAAGAAACUUAAUCUUGCUAAUAACCUCUAUUACAGAAAAUUAAUAAUCUUCAAAAAUCAGCUUGUUCCUAGACAGCUAGAUGGAGUAGACUGUAAUUGCUAUAGUCAGACAUAGUAAUUUUUCUUGAACACCUAAUAUGGAUCUGCCCCUAAUUAAAGAAUCAUUAAUGCAAAAUUCUUUUCACUUUGUUUAGAUGUCAUAGCCCUUAGACACAUGAUGACCAAUGGAAAGAUAUAUGUUUCUUAGGUAAUUAAUGCUAAGUGAACUUUUCAAACUUGCUAUAAAUUUUGUCUUAAAGGUAUAAAAUAAAACUACAUAAAAAAAAUUAUUUUGAUUUAUACGGUAAGAGGAUAAACUGAGGGUAAAUGAUUCGUACACAAUCGUACUGUGAGAAAGUUGAGAAUGAAUGCUCAAUAAGAAUAAGUUAAGUGCUUGAGAAGUUCGCUAAUUGCUAAUAAGUAUCUCUCAAACUUAACAAUGUGAUGAGAAAAGAUUACCUAAUACGUUAUUUGAUUGCUCAAUGUAACCUUCAACAAGUAUGCAUAUAAUUCUCACAUACAAAUACAAUAUCAUUAUGAUAGGAUGCAUGACUACGUGUAGCACUACCCUCGACCCAGGAGAGAGAUCCACACACCCACGUAUCUGCAUAACUACGUGCAACACUAAGCCAUUUGCACAUUGGUUAUUGUCCUGGGAGUGCACAACCAUCAUUCUAUUAGAAUAUUGUCAGUAGAUGUGGGAUUGUCAUUUUGUGCAUAUUUGAUAUUUUUGUGCGCGUGCCUAUUGUAAAGGAAGGUUCUAUAGAUCCAAGGCUUUUAAAUAUCGAGAAAUAUUAAGUAAAAUAUAAAAUAUUCAAUCUUAAGUUUAUUAUUUUCUUUUUUCUUUCUGAAAGAGUGUCCUUAGUCUCGAAUUUAAGAGAAUCACCAGUAACACAUUAUUUUAUUAAACAUUAACUUGAGCAUUUUCAGCAAUGCAAGUACAUAAUUUUUUAUGUGUAAAAGACCAAUAAUUGACACAAAUUAGAGAUAAAUUUUGGGAAAAAAAUCCAUGUAAUGGUUCUUUCAAAACAUCAAUAAAUUAUGAUCAUGUUUGACAAAAUUAGAUGAAAAGUUAAUUAAAAGUUAAAAAAUUAACUAAAACAUUAGUUGGUAGUGGAAAGUUAAAAAAAUAAUUUAUUAAAUUAUAAAUAUUUGAUAAAAUUAAUUGUUGAAGUAGUUGAAAAACAUAAAAUCAUAAUUUAUUUAAAAAUAAUAAUUAAAAUUUUUGAUAAAUAUAUAAAAAUUAUAAAAAACUAAAAAUUAGAAACUAACAUUUUUAAACAAAUAUUAGUUCAAGUACAUAAUCAAACAAAUUUUUUAACUUAAAAAAAGUUAUACCAUAUAUUGUUAAUAUAAAGUUCAUAAUGUCACUAACAGAUUUUUUUUAAUGCUGGGAGAUAGAUAUAUAUCUUCUACUUGCGGUAUUUCUUAGCAUUAUUCAUCGCAUAGGACUCAACGUUUUGGCGUCUAAUGAUUAAAAAGGACAUCAAAUAUAUGUUAGUUUCAAUGGUAAGCAGCAAGAAGCUCCAAAAAAGAACUUUGUUGCGUAGUGUAUUACUCUACCACACAUCUUAAUUUCUUUCAAAUUUCAUGUAUCGUUACUUUAUAUAUGUAUUCCGUUGUAGUGGUCUUUAUGUGUGAGUUAUAUACAUGUACACGUUAUUGUCGUCAGCUUCACCCCUUCUAAAAGAUAAAUUCCUUUAAGUCAUGUUUGGGUGAUUAGAAAAACAGUGAGUGAUGGACCAAUAUAAUCAAAUUCCAUUUUAAUUAUUCAGUUGAAAUUAUUACGUGACACGCGUAUGCUAUUGAGAUUAGGUCCUUUUUUUAUAAAUGCAUGUCUCUUCCUUAUAAAACCCUUAUCUAUGAUUGAAUUUUCUAAUUUUUCUAUGGUCAGAAAUCCCAGCGUUGAGAAGAAGCAAACGUUCCUUUUUGCCAUUCUUGAUGUUUAUGUGUGCGUAUGGAACCAAAAGACGGUGAUCGAUCACUUGCAGAAUUGCAGCCAUAAAUGGACCACCCUUUAUUUUUCCUUUAAGAACAUCAAACAAUAAUGGAUGGACAAUGUGCUUUCAGUGCAGAAAUCCACUAUAGUUAAAAAGGAACCUUUUCUAAGGAACAUUGGAUGCUGCCUAAUUUACGUACAGUACUAAUAAUAUCAAAGGAUGAAACGGAAUUGUAUUUGGUAUUAACAUGUGGAAGAAAAUAAAAAUGAGUACAAAUUAAUGAAAUUUAAAUUAGAGCUUAUAAUAUUAUCGAGUACUUCAGUAUAAGAUUAUUUUAGUUUAAAUAAUGAAACAGAUUUUCACAGUAUUCUAUCAGAUUUGAGCACACACGAUCUUGAUCAACUUCCCUGUGAUGCAUAAUUUUAUUUUUUAAUUUUAAAAAAAGUUAAUAACUGUCAAAUAAAGAUAUCAGUCCAAAUCAAUUCUCCUACAAUGUGAUCUCUACGAAAAAAAGCUAGAGCUUACUAUUAACUAUUAAGUGGGAGUGCACUUGCAUUGGUUAAAAAGAAUUGAUGUCUGAUACAAUUCCCCGCAAAUUAAAUUUUAUUACUUCCAUAAAAUAUAAUCUUUCCGCCCUUGAAAAUGAAAGAAGAGUAAAUGUGAUUCGUCUUCAGAUAAGGCCAAAAUAUUCAACUUUCAUUACGGGUUAUAAUUUAUUACACAAGAAUAUGGAAUAAUAUUGUUCAUAAGAUUGAGAAGACAAAGUGGGAAGAAUAAAAUUCAAGAAUCUUUUGCAAACGUUAAAAGUCAUGUGCAGUAGCUAUAUAUAACAUCUGACUUCUCUAUUAUUCUUUUCUUAGUUGUAUUGUACCGCUCCUUCAAAAUCAUAUAAUUUUAAAAUUAAAUCAUAAAAUUAAAUAUUAACGUACAUGAACAAUAAUGAAAUAUUUAAGAAAAGGAUAAUAGAGAAGUCAAUCUCGACUACAUGCCCACAACAAAAAAAAAAUAAUCAUAUCAGUCCAUUAUUAUUGUUAUUAUUGCUACCAAAAAACAUAAUAAUAUCUAGGAUGAAACCAACAUUAAGUUCAGCGUGAAGCAGACACUAAAAUCUAUCUUUACACUCAAUCAACGCCUGGGUGGUACAUGCAUGAUUACUAUCCCGAUAUCACCAACCCUCAUUGCAGCGUGCGAACUUGCUGUUGUUCCUUUCUCCUUGUAAAAACUAAAAACAGCUAGUAACUUAAUUUACAUUUAAACAAGUUAUUCCUUUCAAAAUUAUUGUGAACAAAUGUUUUUAUUUAUGUCACUAGCUAUCCAGUGAAUUGUUUUUGGUACAUAGCUAUGCAAUCAAUUUUUUUUAAAAAAGCUAUCCAAUGAAUUAAAGCUCUAUAAGUGAGUUUAAUAAUAAUAAUAAAAGCUCUAUAAGUGUGGGAAUUUUUUUUGAGGGAAGUGUGGGUAAUUGUUAGCUCUACUUUUUUUAGUUAUAUUUUGUUAUAUAAGUGUGGGUAAUAAAAAAUAAUAUUAAUUAUAUGUUCUUAUAUUUAAAUCCAAUAUAUAAUGUAACAUUUUUCAUUAUCGAUUUUUAGGCGACUCACCCUACGAUAAUUCACACGACUUCUUUUCAGGAUCAUUGAUUAUGUUCACAAACCAACAUAAGACUUUAAUGUACUUUAUCCUCACUCACAUAUUUUAUGAAAAUUUUUCACAAAUAUCAUCCAUCCUAUAAUUGCUUCAAGUUAAGCUUGCUUAACCAUGAAGUUUAUAUGUGAUGGACUACCAAAAAGUAAAUGAUCUCUUUAGUAUAUAUAGUAUCAAUUAAUGCCUUUAAAUUAUCUUCAAUUAUACAAACUCAUACAUAUAUACCAUAAAUGUAACACCCUUCUUUACAAUAACAACCCGUAGUAAAAAUAUACUUUAAAACAUCCAUAAAAUAAUAAUUUAAAAUUUUUAAUGGUUUGAAAUAAUUCAAAUAUUUGAAAAUAAAAUUGUUUAUUUAUCUAACAACUCAUUUAUUUAUAAUAUUUUAAAUCAUUAAAAUUUCUAAAUUCUUAUUUUAUGAAUGUUUUAAAUUAUAUUUUUACUGAGUGUUGUUAUUGCAAUAAAAGAUAUUAGGUAUAUGUUUACUUUUUUUCUUAUAUAUGAAUACAAAAAAAGUCUUACUAGGUGUGAAACACAUUAAUAUCUAAUAAUAGAAAAAUCUCGAAUGCUUUUUACAUGUUGGUAAGAAACACAUUAAUAUUUUAUAUUUAUAGGGAUGCCAAGUCCCUAUGAUAAUUGUCUAACAAUUAGACCAUAUCUACUAGGUAUAAUCCCAAUAAAAAAAGCAUUCCCCAAAACAUUAAUUAAUAUCUCACAUUUGGGGUUACAUAUCGAAUUUAAACUUGAAUAUUAAAUUGUAUUAGAAAGUAGAUCACGAUUUUGAUUCCCUUAAAAUUAAAUUAAGACUUUUGGUCCUGAAGUUUUAAAAAUUGAUGAUUUUGUUUCAUAUGUCAAAUUCUUUUUUGUUGACCAUUAGUGUACAACUAAUUGCUGAUGUGGUACGUUUAUGUUUUGUCAGUAAUAAUUAACGGUUAGUAAUAAAAUUAUUAAGUUUGAUAAAAAUCAAACCUUCAACACUCCUCCAGUGUCAUCCCUAACCUUCAACACUCCUAACCCCUAACCUUCAACCUUGACGUUCUUGGAUGUUUCACGUGGAUUUGUGAUGAGGGGGUUUACACGGAUCAUGGAUGGGUGUUGAUGCGAAUUCUUCACUCUGGGACAAAAGGGUUCAAGCGAAUCUGGGUUGGGGUACACAUAGAUCUGGGACGAGAGGGUUCAUGUAGGCAGUCAUCGUUGUUUCCGUCGGUGGAAUUGGGAUCAAACCUUUCAUUCAUCUUUCUUUCACAAAUUGCACCCCUCUUCAACUAACAUUUGAUUUUGUAAAUUUUUCGUAACCCGGCUUCUUAAUCUCUUAAUCAUCCUUCAACUAAUGCGCAUCAAUAAUGUAUGAAACUUAUUUUUUUGUUUUGAAUUUUGUGUGGUUUGGGUGAGGAAGAGGAUGAGAAAGUGCUAGUCUGGGGUUAUUGUUAGAGGUCACAGAAUGAGGUAGAGAACAAUUAAAAUUAACUUAACAGUUUUAUUAAUCACAAUUAAUUGUUAAUAACAAAACGCACCAUGUCAGCCAUAAGUUGGUCAACAUUUAUAAAAUAGCAGUCAACCCAAUAAACUUGAUUGAUGAAUCAAAAUUGUCAAUUUUUAAAAUUAAGAGACAAAAUAUCUCAAUUAAAUUUUAGGAGGAUCAAAAUCAUGAAUUUAUCACAAGAGUAAAAUUAUAAUCUAAUCUAUUAUUUAUAAUUAUCUUAUCCAUCUCAAAGUUAAUUACUUUCAUGUAAAAUAUAUGUCUUCUCUAAAAAAAUACUAAUACAUACCUAUAAAAUAGGAUACAACCCACUGUUUACAAAUAAUAAUAAAAACAAAUUUAAUUAAAAUACAUUGAUGAUUUUAACCUCUUUUAUAUUGUCAAAUAAUGUAAAAUUUUUGUAUGUUUUACAGAUAUACAAUGAUGACAACAAGAUUCAAAAUUAAAGACCUCGUGUAAAUUACCCAAAAUUCCAACGACCUAGUGGACCAAUUCCUUUAAUUCAUAUACUAACAGUACAUGAAAAUUAGAUUCUUGAAAAAAAAAAAUACGUAUAUGUGAGACAAAAAUUAGUUGAAGUGGGGGAAUAAAAGGAGUGAAUGUAAAAGAGUUGUGUGGGGGAGAAUAGCUUACCGUGCAAGGCAGAGCAAUUGGGAGGGGAAAGGAAAAGAAAGUGAAUUGAAGCUUAGCUUAAGCUUACAGCAGGAGAAAAGAAAGGAAGCAAAACCACCUAAAAGCAACCUAGCCACCUAUUUGUGGCUGGUGUCUCUUAAUUAAUGAGAGAAGGAAGUGAGAGAUUGUAAUGGAAAAAGAUAAUCAGAUGCUGUCCAAGGAACAUAGCGAUUCUUCAGAAUUUUGUUUGCUUAUAGUACUUAUUCAUCAUCUAUCUCCUCCUUCUUCUUCAAUUCUCCUCUCCAAUGAUUUUGAUCUUCAGGUACAUAUAUAUAUAUAUAUUGCUCGUCACAUUUGUUUCAUUCUUCAACUUAUUGAUUCUUAUGUAUCGAUCAACCCCAUUUGAUGCUUCCAAAUUAAUUAACGAUUCCAUUAAUUUUUGCAGUUUUUUGCCUUUAAAAUAUGAAUUGCUACGUAGUUUCAUUCUUAGCAUAUAUUCUACUACAUGAUCAUGUUUUGAUAGGCAUAUAAUUUGCUUUUGUUUUCUCUUCAAUUAAUAUUCUUUAAUUUGAUCAGUAUUUCUGCUGUUGUGUUCAAUGAAUCUUUAUCAUUUGAUGAAUAUUGUUACUUUAUUAUAAAUACUAUAAAUUAUAGACUAUAGUUAUAACAUAUGCACACAUAUAUAUGUAUGGAUUAUGGAACUGAUGAACGCAUAAGUGUGAUCGAUCUCUUGUUUACCGAGAAAAUCACAAAGGGAAAUAAACGAAAAAUUGGACGCUUACUUCGAGCUAAAGAGUAACGAAUAUCACUCCAAUUGUUCUUUUCUUAUUGUUACUAGCGGAGCAUUUCUAUUGUAUUAUAUUACAUGUAAAUUAAAAAGAAAAAAAUAUAGAUAAUAUCGUAUAUUUAUUUUAUUAUUGAAAAAACAAUUCUUAUAUUUAAAAAAAACACAUUUCAAGUUUUUUGGAAUAAAAAUAAAAUUAAAGGAAGUAGUGAGAUAGUUUGGAAUUUUAAAAAACAAAAUGAAAUGAAAAUAUUUAAGUAGUACUGAUUUAUUUAAGAAAAAACUAAGAAAAUAGUGGGAUAGUGUGAAAUCUUAAAUUUAAAAAGAUAUUGAUCUUUCUAAAUAACAAUAGUUAAUUUAUAAUGUCAAUGCUUAAAAGGGUUAAAAAGUCUACUUUAUCAAAUACAAUCAUUAAGAUAUGUGAAUCUCAUAAUAGUUGUUUAUAAUAAAGAAGGAACAAAAAAUAAAUUUUAAGAGAUAUGAAAAAAAAUAAAAACAAAUUUACAACUAGCAAAUUAUGUGUAUUAAUUAGUAGUUAAUACAUAUAAAUCUAAGAAUACAAAAAUAAAGAAACAAUACAAAUAAAAUUAUAUUUUAGAAGGGGAAAAAAUUAAUUUCAAUUUUAGAUAUGAUCUGUUAAUACACAACGGUAUAAGUGAAAGAAUGGAGAGUAGUUAGCGGAUGGUUACAAUAUUAAGUGGUUCUAAUAAUAAAAUUAUGUAAACCAAAAUUUGUUCAAAAUUGUGUAUUCUUCAUUUGUAAAUGGCUUGUUUUAUUUUGGUUUAAUCAUGGGAAGGUUGUUGAGUGUGAUUUUUAAGAAUAAAAUGAUCUAGAAGAAGAAAGACCAAAAGACGGUUACAAAUUCCUUUAUCUAUUGUUAUAGAUUAACUUUAAAUAUCUCUCAUAGCAAAUUAUAUAUAUCAGUAUUUUCUAUAUUUUGUUUUGUUCAAAUAUUAAUUUCUUUACUCAUCUCACUUGUGUUUUUAUAUUAUUUUAAAAUGUACAAGUGUAAUUAAUUGAAUUAUUUAUAGUAUAAAAAUGUCAGUGAAAUGAGUUAUUAAAUUUUCAACUUAUAAGUAAUAUGGUAAACAGUUGUUAAACUCUUUUUUUAUAUACGAAAAAGUAAUUUUUACACUUUUCUCUUCUUUUUUUUUCUCUCUCCCCAAAACAUCUCUUUAGCUCUGCGAAGGGAAAUCCGAUAUAUUACGAUAGUUACAGCAAACGACGUGAAAAGUUCUUUCACUUUCUUCCAACAAAUAAAAAAAAUAAAAAAGAAAGAAAAAAAUCAUGUUAAACUGUAGCAAGUGAAGAAAGUGUAGGUUAAAAUAACAAUCAAAAGAUAUUUUUCUUUUCUUUCGAACUUUAAAAUAACAAUGCUUUCGUGUAACAUACCGUUUUCCACUUGAAGAAAAAAGUUGGAGGUUUCGAAUUCAAUGUACGAAAGGUAAGACUUUAUAGAACCAAAGAAUGAUCUAAUGAAUAUCUUAUUUCUUACAAAUUGAUAUAAAUUUUUGGUUGAUUAUAAGUUAUUAGAGGGAAGAGAGAGAACCAGAUACAAAAGGGAAUUUUAAAUGUUAAUAAUAUGUUAGGCAUACCAAAAAAUUUGGGUUUUAGCAUUUUAGUCUAGGAUGAUAGGUAAGAUAAUGCAUGACUAAAAAAGAAUCUACGACUACUAGGACCAACUAAACUAACUGUUAUUCUCAUGGUUACGUAGAGAUAAAGUGAUCCCAAUAAGGCUAAUUGUUGGCUCUUAUUUAAAUGUUUUGGUUCAUUCGAGGCCUAGAUGAAUGUGACGAAUUUUCCAUGCUAAUGGCGAGUCUUUUGAUGCAUUACAGUGCAAGGGAGAAGAAUAGAAGAUGAUCUUGAUUAGGGUUGUGGAGCCCAUUUAUUGUGUCCAUUCAUGCACUGUGGAACAUUGAUUUUUUGAAGAGUAGAUGGAGACUGGUGAAAGCAACAGUACUAGUAGUAACCAAAGUUGUGCAGUGAUGAAGGAUUCUAAAUGGUACACUCAAUUCAGAAAUGUAUCCAAUCCUUGGAUGGCAAGAUAUGUUUAUGGCUUGAUUUUCCUAGUGGCCAAUCUGUUGGCAUGGGCUGCCCGUGAUGAACUUUCUAGUCUUAGUGCUUUAACAGAAAUGAAGGGUAAGAUUGCUUUUGAAUCCUUGAUGUACUUUCACAUUUAGUUUUCUUAUGCUACUUUCAAAUUUCACCAUGUCAAUGCCACAAGAAUGAAAUCAAGAUUUUUCUUUCUAACACAUGUAAGGUUUUAAAUUGUAGUUGUGGUUACACUUUCGUUACAAUCCUUAAUAUUGUGGGAAAUUACAGAUAAUUACAGUCAAUGUGUCAACAAUUGUUGUCGCGAUGAUUCUAAAAACUUUUACUUUGUGAUUGAAAUCACGAUCACUGACUAUUUGCUAAGACCUUGGGCUCUUAUAUGCAUAUAGGGUGUUGCAUUUUUAUGCAAUAGAAUACUAAUAUAUAUAUUUUUUUACAAUGAAAGAAUUGAAGUUUAAAUCUAAGACCCCAUGAAAAUUACGUGAACCUGUCUCUAUUCUAUUAUUGGCUGAAAUUUAUUUAAGGCUUAUUAAAUUAGUUUUUAGUUAGAGUUUCAAUAAAUUUCAAUGUGCCUUAAAAAGAAUAGCACAGAAAGCUUAUGUAUUGAAAUUUCUAGCAUAAUAUAUUCUUAUGAUGCUAAUUGCUUGAAUUCUAACAUAUAUUGAAUCCACAGGGUUAAAGGGAUGCAAGGUUGGAAAAGACUGUUUGGGUGCAGAUGGUGUUCUGCGUGUGAGCAUGGGUUGCUUUGUAUCCUUUGUCAAAAUUUCAAUAUUUAUUAUAUGCAUGAAAUCUGGUUGUUAAAGGCUCUGUACAAUAAGGUUUAUAAAAAAGAAAAGGAAAAACUAAGCAUUAUAUGAAUCAUUAAUCAAUAUUUAUAUUCAGUUUUCAACCUUAAUUCUUGAUCAGUUAUUUUAUAUGAUAAUGUUUUGGUCGACUGCUGGCACUUCUAAAUUGAAGGAAGGCAGAGAUGAAUGGCAAUCUGGAUGGUGGUUAGUGAAGAUUGUUGUCUUGGUCCUUGUGACAAUAUUCCCAUUUAUACUCCCUUCUGAGUUGAUUGAUCUCUAUGGUGGGUAAAUUGUGUCUCUGAAAAAUCCUCCAAGAAUUAGUGUUUCCUCUUUGAUAGUAUAAAAAAUGUUGCUUAUAUUUAUUACCUUGUUAUUCCUCUAACACAAUUAUUUAUUUAUUUGUUAAAGGACAGGUUGCACAUUUUGGUGCUGGGUAUGUGUUUUUGUACCUUCACUAAAUGAUUUCAGCAUAUCUUUGUUUUAACUGGUAUAUGGAUUGUUUUAAUUUUCUCUGUCUCUUUUUCAGGGUUUUCCUCCUAAUUCAACUAAUAAGCAUAAUCAGCUUCAUUAACUGGCUGACUGAUUGUUUUGACUCUGAAAAAUAUGCAGAAAAAUGGUAUGAGUUUUUUAAUUAAAUUAAUUAUACAUAUUUUUAGUUCAUUUUUUAAAUUCAAUUUUCAAAAAACUUGUAUAUAUAUUAAACAAAAAAAGUACUUCCUUAAUGUUCAAUUUGUAUGCAGCCAAAUCCAGGUGAUGUUAUUUGCAACUAUUUCAUAUUUUAUCUGCUUGGUGGGGAUCAUUUUGAUGUACAUUUGGUAUGCGCCACAACCAUCUUGCCUCCUCAACAUUUUCUUCAUUACUUGGACCCUAGUGCUUCUCCAACUCAUGACAAGUGUAUCUCUUCACCCAAAAGUAAGUACUGUUAAUUUGUUGGCUUUUGCAUGCUCACCUUACUUUAUCUUCCAUCAUAACUUUAGGUGGAAUUAAUGUCUCUUCAUAGGUGAAUGCUGGCAUUUUAAGUCCAGGGUUGAUGGGGCUUUAUGUUGUCUUCCUUUGCUGGUGUGCAAUUAGAAGGUAGGGCCACCAAUUUUGUCUUUACUUUUGGACUUAUAUUGAUAACUUAUUUGAUAUAGCUGUCUAAUGUUUAGAGAUUUUUCUUUUCAACCGAAGGAAACUUGGAUGUAAAAUCAAAUCAUUUUUUUUAUAAAAAAAUUCUCCAUUUAUUGCUUUUGUUAUCCUUCUAACUUAUAUUGUCUUCAUUGCAUUGAAUUUGAGCUUUAGAACUUAUUUGUGUAUGCAGUGAACCUGCGGGAGCUGAAUGCAUCAGGAAGUCAGAAUCUGCAAACAAAACAGACUGGCAAAGCAUCAUUGUAAUAUUUACUAUUUCAUGUUCAAAUGAAAUUUGGACUUAAUGUUUGAAUUGUUCUUAAACAUGAUAAUUGUGAGUCUACAAAUAUUUAUGCUGAUCCUGUAUUUUCGCAUCUCGUCACUUGAUAAUAUUUUCCCCUGCUAGUUUUGUAUAAUAUGCAAAGAGAAAAGGAUGCUAUUCCCAGAAAACACAAUUAUUUCAUGUUUAUCAUGAAAAAUAUUUGAGAUUUGAUUUAUUUUUUUCAAUUCGGAUCUUCUCAUGUUAAAGGGUAACAUAAAAACAUUGUUAUUUAAAACAAAAAGGUGCAAUAAUGAAAUUAGUGAGAGGAUCCAAAUCAUUUUCUUUUUCUUUUGGCUUUUGUUGUCCUCACACAUUCAUUUUGAAGGCUUGGUAAUUUUAUUUUCUAAAGCUUUGGAAUACAUGAUAUCACUUUGCUUUCUUUAUUAUUGUCUGACAUUCGACAAUGACUAUUGGCAGAGCUUUGUUGUUGCAAUACUAGCACUUGUUGUUGCAACAUUUUCUACCGGCAUAGAUUCCGAAUGCUUUCAGGUUAGUUAAAAGAUCUAAAUUGAAUUUUAAUACCAGGUUCUCCAAUGCAUAUCUAACAAAUCCUUACAGUUCAGGAAGAGUGAUUCGCCAGCAGAAGAUGAUGUUCCAUAUGGUUAUGGCUUCUUCCAUUUCGUUUUUGCCACAGGAGCUAUGUACUUUGCAAUGCUAUUGAUCGGAUGGAAUAGUCAUCAUUCUAUGAGAAAGUAUGAUCCCAUCUUGCAAUUGGCUCAUAACAUGUUAUGUGCAUCUUAUUAAGAUUUCUUGUUUUGCUUUGUCACCCACAUUAAAGGAAACACAUUUCAUUUCUAGUUAUUAAGAGCCAAAAUAUCAUAUAUAAAUCAAGAUGCCACCUAACUCAAUAAAUAUGGUACAACAUGAAGUUUGAGAAGUUAUUCUUUGUGUGACAUAAUAUCAUUCUGGAUCUGAGAUUAUGCUGAUGUAUUUGUCAACUAUUUCCUGCCCAAAAAAAUUUCCUAGUUGCUCACUUAUAUAUUCUAGUAGCAUGUUUAUUUGAGGUUGAUUCUGUCUUAAAGACUUUAAUAGAAGUCAUAAAUUUUGAGAAAAUAAUGCAUAAUAUCUAUAUUCUACUGCAGAUGGACAAUUGAUGUGGGCUGGACCAGUGCUUGGGUCAGAAUAGUAAAUGAAUGGUUGGCAGUUUGUGUCUACUGUAAGUUAAUUACUGUAUUUCCCUACCCCUAAACUAGGCUUAGCAUGAAAGAGGAAUUUCACAAGUCACUUUUUAAAACAUUCUUUGUUAUUGGGUGAAAUACAUAUGGGAAGUUGGGAACCAUUGAAUAGGGAAUGAGACCUAUCAAAUUGAAGUGAGACUCACAUUAUUUAUUGAGAUGCACAUAAAUAUCACACAAUAACAAAGAAUGUGUAGAAAAGUGAGUUGCUAGUUUGAAAAAUUUUAAACUGAGUGACUCUUAAUACAACACGUUAUGUGCAAUUUCUUGAACAAACGAAAAUUUUGUGUUUUCACAGUAUGGAUGCUGGUAGCUCCAAUCAUAUGGAAGAGUAGACAUGCUGAUUCUACAUGAGAACUUCCUUCUUAUCUCCAUUCUGGUUUGAAAUUGUGAGGAUUAAGAUCUUAAAUUGCCACAUAUAUUUGCUACACAUUUAGUGGACUCCUCCAGUUACAGCUCUUAGGAAAAGGAAUUGCAAGUUUGCAACUGCAACACCCUGGAAAUUCGAAGUCAGAAGCAAUGGUUCUGGCAAAAAUGCACAUAAGCUGUUGGAUUUUUUAUUUGAAGCUACACAAUACCUGUUCAUUUAUCACUGAGGGAGUAUAAAGUAACUUAAAAACCCAUUUUGAGGAUGCUCAUCAUAAAGUUCAUUCAUGAUUUGCCAAUUUAUCGGUUUAAAUGCUUAAAGUAAUUUUAUUGUGAGUGAAUCAUCAUAUGUUCAACAUAAGGUAAGCAGUGGAUUACCAUUUGUCAGUGACAAAUAAUAUCGAAGUUACAAUCAAUGAAACACUGUUUCUGAGUUCAUUGUUUUUCUAAUAUGUUUUUUAAUUUUUUUUAUUGUUAAAGUAAUCAUUUGCGAAGUACUACUAUAUUUUAAAGUAUCUUUUGGAUUAAAAUGGUGCCUAGAUUUUCAAAACAAGCGACUUAAUUCCUUGUUGCGAUUUCUUGAACCUAUUUCAAUAACAUCUUUAACAGAAAUAACGCGCUUGUCUCUAAAGUAAACAAGGGUACAACCACUUUUUUAAUUUUUAGUCAGUUAAAAUCAUAAUAUGUUUAAUAAAUAUUAAUAAACUUUUGUUCGUCCAAUUUAUAGGCAAAUUCAAUUUCGAAAAGUCUCGUUUUACAAAAAUAAAAAUAAAUGAUUUUACCUUCACUGUUUUCUUACAAAAAUAGUCUCUAAAAUUUUCUUUCAUACAGUUUAUCUCCAAGUCCUCUAUUUGAUAUCAUUUUUAAGUGUACGUGAUUUGUUAUGUGGAGAUUAUGAUUUCCACGUGCUGUAUUUGUUUAGAUCCAUGGUUUACUUAUCACGUAAACCUAACAAUGUCAUGUGAAAAAUAACGAGGAGUUGAUAUCAUUAUCACUUGCCCUUGUGGUAGUCCUUGCAACUUUAUGGCUAGAUCCAACACUGGCCACGUUUUUUCGGUCCAAACACUAGCAACUUGAACAAGAUGUCAAACCCAUCGGCAUCCACCUUCUCGACCUGAUUAUAAACGUGAUUGUGUAGGUAAAGGACCAUGGUUGGUGAAAAUUGAGGUAGCUUUUGCAUUUGAUGUGGGUUAGAAAUAGUGAUAGUCCAAGAGUGACACCCUAAAAAAGCAAGACCUAGAAAGAACGCGAAAAACUCGAGUGUGUACAGAUUCGGAGAGAUUGGAUUUCAGAGAAUCAACAAAUGGUGGGUGGUGCGGAGAGAAAGAGGAAAUGAGACAAUGUGAAAUCUUUAGUCAUGUCAUGUUAAAUUUAGAAGAUUAUUAAGUCCACAAUGCACAACGUUUGUAUUUAUAUUAUAAAGGGUAAUUAUAAAUAUACACCUCUUUACAACUCACUUCCUAACAGCAUCACUGAUUGGUUGGCAGAUUCUGCUCAUAGUGCUUCGUUGGGGGUGAAUGUCUUGGAUUCUCCCCUUGUGGGUUUGUUCGUUAAUCGUUACGGUUAUCGAAUGAUGUUAUGGGGGAUCUUCGACCCCUCACCGUGUGUUAGGGUAGUUGUGUAGUUUUGUUUUUUGGCCUCUGGCCCUCCCCAUUACAAAAAAAAAACAAUAAGAUGAUUUCAUUUCAUGUACUAUCCAUAAAAAAGAAAAACCUUACCAAAAUUGUGAGAUUACAAAAUCAUACAAUAUAGUAAAACCAAAAAUAUAACACAAGUAGGGUGCAUCAAACUAGCAAACACCACCAACCAAUCUAUACUACAAAUUACAAAUGAACAACACAUGGGUGCACCCAAAAAUAAGAAGCAAAAAAAAUCAUGUCUCCUCGAAUGGUUCUCUGCACCCCUUUCAUUCAUCCGUUCUUUAUCUCAACUCCUUUCCCCUCUUCCAAGGGACUUGGAUUCUCUACAGCACAACAGCCCCUACGGCAGCAGCAUAUUAGCCUUUCAUAAUAACAAAUUAACCUCUUCCAAGAAGGUAGAUUGUCUUUCAUUCCUAUAGAAAUAACAAUUUACACGGCCAAAUGCAAAUAUUUGACUUCGAUCCAGGGAUUACCACAAACCCCUCAUAAUGCGUAUGUGUAUCAAUCUGACUGACAAUAGAAACCCAAGCCCAAACUUGCACAUAUUUGUACAAGGAGCAACAAGUAGAUGCGUGACUUUACAAUUCCAGGUGGACAAUUCUUCACAUUAUCCGAAUGGGUUGCCUCCGGUAGGGAAUGAGUUAGAGGUGGGAGUGUUUGAUAACCUACCAGUCAGCUGCUGAUCUGGAUUUGACAAGCCGAAAACAGCUCCUUGGUUACCAAAAUUCCCAACUUCUUGCCUACGCAUUCAGUUAAAAUCAUUGAGUGGCAAUUCAAGUAAUGCUGAACAACAAAUAAUCAUACAGAUGUUAUACAUAUAACUGCAAUAAAUUCCCCCUUGCACAACUCACUUCAAAAACUAGGAGAAAUAAAAAAAAUCACAGUUCUCAAUGAUAGCACCUAACAUGAUAACAUCUGCCCAUAUAAGAAACUGAUGAAACAUGAGAUACUAAAAUGUUUUAGAUGCAUGAAUUUGGAUAGAUAAAGGGUUCACUAUAUCAUUCAAGUUUGUUCUAUGCAACAUAAUUUGGUAUAGAUAAAGGAAUGGACCCAAAAUAUGAAUUUCCUAGAGCUAGUAUAGAAACAAACCUAAAAUAGCCUGGAAGAAAUGUUAUCAUGAUUGAAAGAGUAGUUUACCUUGGCAUUGGCAUGUUAGUCGGCAUUUGCUGCCCCAUAUAUGGCCCUGAGAUUUUCACAUGGUUCAGAAUACAGAUAAAAAAGCAAACUGUCCUUAGAAAUAGAACAAUUAAUUGAAGAAUGAUAAAACGAUAAACAUACUUGGUCCCAAUGCAGUUGCACGCAUUUGUGUCUGUGCAGGCAGAAAUGAUGAUGACAGAGGAGUCCAGCCAUGUGUUGGAUUACCCAUGCUUGAAGGGUGCACUGCACCAGGAGGUGGUACCCCAGGCAGGGCACCUUGCAAGGAUGACAUGGAAGGAAACUGUAUUCAAGGAAAACCAACCAGAAAAUCAUCAACCAGGAUUUUUUUUUUCAAAUUUUCCUGAACAAAAACAGAAAGGAAUUCUGAAGCUUGAAAUAACUAAUUAUUUAAUAUGCUACAAAGUUAGUACAACACAUUUCCAUGUCUUUUUCAAUGUGAAGAGAUCAUAAAGAAAACAAAGAUAGCAAUUUUCAUUCUUAUAUAUAAUUCUGCUAAAGGCAAGAUGUAAACUUCAGACAGUAACAUACACAUACAGUUAAGUAACCAAUGAUGAAAAAAAAAUGCUUGACUCAAUAAUGGACAAAAUCCAAACCAUCAUUUAUCUACUAACAUGCACUAUUCAAAAGUAAAAUCAUUAAUUAGCAAAAUUAAAUGUGGUUUCAAACUUCUAAUACAAUAUCUAUGCAUUAUAUACAAAAUAAUGACAGUAUAAAAUAUGAAAUAUAAUUGGCAAUAGCACACAAAUAUUUUAAAUAAAUCACAUACAGUUGGGGCUUGAUUUGCGGUAGGUUCACUGCUGACAUCAAAUGGAUUUAUUGACUUUGAUGGCUGUGGAAAACUUGGCACAGGCUGCAACAGUGACAAACACUUAUAUGAGAGAAAUGCUCACGCUAAUGCAUUAGCCACAGAUUGAGCAUGUGCUUGGUUUGAUUAUUUUUGGGGAAAAUAGUCUUUAAAGGGAAAAAAAGGGGGGGUCUUUCAGAGUAAGAUUUUAAUUGUAUGCUAUUUUGAACAAAAAUGAACUAAUCCAAACACACACAGUAUAAUCUGGUAAGCUAAUCAUUCUGGAUUGUAACAGUACCACCACAUUAUUGUAUUGCAUUGAGAUACCCAUGCCAUGGGGAACACCCAUUUGCCAACCUACGACUGGAGCAGGGAAGGAAGAAUAUUUUACAGUGAACAGAUCCUGCAUUAACCACAACUUACUGUAAGACAAAAAAUAAACACAUGCAAGUGUGCACACAACAUAGAUGGUUGUGAAGUAAAAUAAGGACUAAAAAAUACCUCAGGAAGUUCUUUCCUUCCACUUGCUUUAACUUCUGAAGCCGGAGGUUGUGAAACAACACUGGAUAUAGCCUCAUUGGCAGGCUUUGAAGCAUAAGGGUACGUAUGUGGCAUUGGUGUGCUUGGAUGCCCUUGCACUGUGGGUGCAGAAGGUACAUUCCAUGGCUGCAAGAUAUUUCCAGGAAAGAGUGAAAACAAAUACUAGAUCUGAAAUUGACAGUCUAUCAUUUGAAAUGACUGCCAAACCUGAUUAUUUGCUGCUCCACCUAAUAGGGGUGUAAAUUGUUGUGCAAUAGACUGACCAACAGCAGCGGGGAACAAUGGUUGUUUCUGCUGCUGUAAAUUGGCCCAUUGUCCUGCAUUAUUAAGAGGCGACACUGAUGUCAAUCCAGGAGAUGGUACAGAAGCAUUGCUGGGUGGGAAAGCUGAGAAACCGCUAACACUUGCAACUCCAGAAGUAGAAGUAAGAGAUGAUGAUGGAAUAGGUCCUGCAAAAAAAGGAUGAGUUGUCAGUUCUUGCUAAUGAUAUCACAGUGCCUUAGGAAUAGCUGUUGUGACAAUUAGGUCACCUUGGACUCCAGAAACUUGAGCAGGUAAAGAUGCUGGCACAGACAAUUGGGACAACAUCGAUUCAAGUGGAUUUAAAUUUGAGGAGCUUGGAGUUGCACUUGUUGCAGGAGCAACAUCAAAAGAGGCCCAAUUGUCAUUACUGGAGUUUGCUGGCUGCACAACAGGUUGAGGUACAGUAGUUUGUUGGGCUUGAAGAUUUGAUGGAGCUACUGGAGGCUCAGGAUCAGCAUAAAAAUCAAUAAGGCUCUUAGUAGUCUCAAGCUUAACAUCUACUGGGUUUUCAUUGCCAGAAGCCAAGCUACUGGAAGAUAUAGUUCUCUGAAAUUAUAAACAGUCAGUUAUCAUAAAAAUUAAGUUCAGCUACCCUACUAAACUACAGUGCCUGAGCAGGUUAAGGGAAAGAGCUGUCAAAACAAUUCAUGCUAAAAAUAAAUAAACAGUAAACACUGAGCCAGAUCUUGCAGAAAAUUAACUAUGAAGUUAGUGAACAUUAGGUGUUCAUGCUACUGUAGAUUGGCUAGAUUCCUAUUGUCCAUCAGAUGCUUAAAGAAAAUCUUGAAGUAUACAAUGGUAAUAAAUUCACUAGCAAAACAGUAUGUUAAACCAAAAAUCUUUAAGGAGAUAACAGAAAAAUAUCUUUGACUGACAAUUGACAAAACAUAGUGAAUUUGUUAUAGCAUAGAAAUAAUGAUAAACAGAUCACAGAUAAACACUGAAGAAACUCCACAGCAAAGGCAGGCCAUGUAGCAUCUAGCAUCAGGAUUCCGAACCUAGGUGGUAGAACCAUAUGGACCAUCAUUAAUAAUAAUUUCACCUGUGUCGGUGCUGAGCUAUCAGCAGGUCUUCCACUGUUUGGUUUGGGUGGUUCACUUAUCCGAAGAGGCACCACAUUUUCUCCCAAAAUAUCUCUAACAGGUCGGACCACAGGUGGGCUGGAAGAAUCCACAUCUUUGGCUCUCUCAGGAGAUUGGCUUUCCAACUUAUAAUCUCCAUCAGAUGUUCUGCGAUCUUCACGACGCCAAUCAUUAAUUAGUGGAGGACGACCAGGACUUUUCUUAUAAUCACCAUAUUGCCUACUUUCUUGAUCAUAUCCAGGACUUCUUCCACCUGGACUAGAUCUGUCAUUAUAACGGCGUUCAUAUGUGUCCUCAUAGGGAGGGCUUCUAGAUCCUCCUUGAUAAAAAUCAUCCUUGUCACCCUGUAAAACAUGCAACAUAUGAAAAGAGACAAGAAUGUUAGAUUUAGCUGAUACAUUCAAGCAACUCCAAAGUAAAAACGUAGCAUGAAAAUUGAAAUUGAAAUUGUAACAAACUGAAAUAUAAACUUCAAAACAGUGAAUCUAAAAGGAGACAAGAGACAUCUUACCGGCUUGGCUCUUGGUGGUUUGUCAUUGGUCUUAUCUCCAGUGAAUCUUCUAUCCACAUAAACAUGCUUAAUAAAGUCUCGGAGCCUGUCAACAUUACUGGCACCAACCAUGCUAAUCAGAAUAAAUGAAUGAUGCAUCCUGUAAUUGUACAUAAAAGCAUAUAACAAGUAGUUACCUGCUAUCGGGGAAAGAAUGACGUUGGGCAUCCCAUUCUUUAAAAUAAAUUUCUUUUGCACGCUUCAAGUAUUAGAAAAAGCAGAAAUCAACUUAAGAAAUAUAUGAUAUCAGGCCAACUGGAAAGAUAUCUAGCAUGAGUUUUAGCAUAAACCGGCAUCUAUACCUGAUUGCCUCCUUCUUGAAGUGCACUAACUUCUUGUGAAGUAAACUUAGCCAUUGAAACUGAUUUUACUCGAUGAGUGAAUUCCCGACUAUAAAUCAAAACAAAAAGCAGUUGACUUUCAUUCAAGGAAAAGUGAACACUAGAAAGAAAUGAUAUUAUUCUAUCUCCAAUAUUUUUUAAACAAAAUGCAGUUUAUGUACACAAGGCAUGUGAGAGCAUGCACAUACAAUUUUCUGAAAUCCAACCCAUUACAAACAGCAGUACAACAUAUACACAAAGUACACAGUUAACAGUAUAGCGACACAAUUGAGUAGAAUUUUAUGAGCAAAACAUUUGGCAAAGCAUUUAAACAAAAGCAAAUGGGAACACUCAGUCCACUAAAUCAGCAGUGCUGAUCAGCAAAGCAAGUCAUCAUGAACCAUAAAAACAUGUGUUCAACUCAAAAUGUUCAACUCAAGAUCAGUGUACAAAAAUCUUGUAAGGACUUACUGUAUUCCACUGCAGUUUGUGCAAACAAACGUCCAGAAGUUUGUGCACACAUAUUGUGGUCCCUUUCAAAAGAGAAAAGAAGAUAAUUAAUAUAAAAGACCAGUCACAAUAUCAAAUGCAAUAAUUUCCAUUCUAGGUUCUGAAGAACGCAAUCAAAAUGCUCUAAAAGUUUGCUAGAAAUUAACAACACUUAAAGUCUACAAAAUGAUUAUAAAAGAAUUUGAUCAGAGACCCAAAUUAUAUUCAUGUUAAGGAUCCUGUUUUCGCAUGGAAUCUAGGGCAUGACUGAUAGAAGAUGGGAACUGUUACCAUCCUUGCAAUUUUAUAGUCUACAUGCUACAAACAUGAUAUUAAAUACAAAUGAAAACAAUGAACUGCCUGGCAAUAAAAUAAAAUCCAUCAGCCACAGGCUAUGGGUUAUACAAAAUCUGUAAGAUUGAGAUUAUACCCUCAAACACCACAUUGACCUUUUCCUAGAAAUCUAUUAAAUGCUUGAUAUUCAAUCAUAUUCAGUCCUAAAGCAAAGGAUCAAACAAUUUAGACACAUCCUUAAAUAACUUAAUAUUCAACUUUAUUUGAUCGAUACACAUUUCCCAACAUGCACUAGAAAUUUUAACCUUUAUUAGAGACCUUGAAAAUUAGUAGGAUUUUUUUUUUUUUUGAAAAACAAACCGUUCCAUUAAAACCCAUAUUAUUUAGUUACUGUUCAACACAUGAAAAUAUUUUUUCAACUCGUUUUUUUAUUCUGAAAUAUUCAGUUAACAAUAUUUUCAUUCCCAAUGCAGCUUAAUCAGGGUACUCCCAUUUGGAUGUUUGGAAAUAGUACUUUGUACAUAUUGGAAAUUGCUUCAAAUAACAUAAGCAAAUCUGAAAUAUUUCAAACAACUAAAUGUAAAAAACUUAUUAUUUCAUCUCAAUACUAACAACCAAUUUUCCUUUGUGUUUAUCCAAAGAUGGCCAAUUUGGGUCUACAAGUUAUUUUCAAUAAUAUCAUCUGAACACAGGUCAAUGUAAGCAAGAAUAAACUCAUCAAGUAAUUUUUAGUAAAAUAUCAUCCAAACACAAAAUAAAUCCUCAUUCAGAAUUUAUGAUGCCAAAUAAGCACUUAUAGCUAAAAACCCAUUUUCACAACUGAUGCGAAGAGCCCAAAAAUGAUUUUUAGCACUCUUUUUUCAUGAAACUUCCUAAAAUGAAAUCAAUAUCAUUAAUAGUAUCAUCAACAGGAACAUUUCUCAUAGAGUGAUGUAAAAUAGGGAAAGGCAAUAACAUGUCAGUGUCUGUCAUUAAUCUUUUCAUGACAGUGCUUUAAUAACCACAAAGUGAAACAUUCAUUAUUUGGUUUCCAAUUACAAAACCAGUAAGCCCAAGUGGCUCAAUGCUCAAUACAGAUAGUCAGAUACAUGGGAUUUGAGGGUGAUUUGUAGCCUGUUGCUUUUCCAAAUGACAGUCACUGUGGUGCUAACAACUGGUUGGAUUCAUAAUAUAACAGGAUGCAUACUACGUAUGAACAGCGAUUGCUAUCAUGGCAGACUGUGGCAUCAUGGCAGUGAGGUGCACCAACACGUCUAAUGUGUCGCGUUUUUGAAUAGUGGGUGAAGCGGCCGUGAUCGCGCUUCUGGGGCAGUUUUGGGUCCGCAUCACUGAAGUCCACAUGAUGUAGUUCAUUCUAGAAGUAGUUUGCUAACCGAAUCGGAUUGUUCGUUCGUGGUACUUUUGCUUGCUAUUCAAACAUAUUGUAGAAAGGGAAAGAUUGAAUUAGCUCUGGUUCAAGAAGCCUAGCCUUCUUUCUUCAGAAUUCUACUGAACGAGGUUGAUCCACUUUACUUUACUAUAAGCAAGUCAAAUUGGAAGCCAUUUCAGCCUUUUCAGGUGCAUAAACAAAAAUGCGCCUUCAAAUACAGAGGGGCACUCUAGAGACUCAAAGUCCUAGCUAAAUAAGGAACAGACUCUCCAUACACAAGUACUUAAAGCACGGCCAGGGAAGCAUCAGAAGCAUCUAAAGGAGAAUGAUCCGAAUCUGUAGCAUAGGAAGGCUUUGAUCCACGUUCUGAGAGCACUGAAUCAAUAUAUUCGAAAAAGGUGGAAAAAAGGUCAUAGCACCAGCACCUGAGCACCUACCCUUACUACUUCAGGUUCACCUCUUAGGAUUGGCUGGAUUACGGCGUGGAGCUUACAAAAUCUAAGUUGAUGUCCCUAUGCACAGCUUACAUUUUUAAUCAAGUAAAGCCCCACUUACAAAAAUACUACACAUCUAAUCCCAAACUCCAAUUUUCAACCAUUUUACUCUUAAGAUGAAAGACUCAGUGGUUCGCAUUGGCAUGCCAUUAACAGGCAAAACCACAGUCCAGUAACCUUCAAUUCAAACAUAAAUAAAUAACAAUAAUCCAUGGCAGUACUACAUUUCCACUGCUUACUUCAUUUCUAUUCUUCGAUUUAUUCUCACACCGUUAAGCUUCUACUCUACCACCGAGUUAGUAGCAACUUACAUUCACACGCUCAAAACAAUCGAAACAUGACAACGCAUCAAAUUCACCCGGUUAACAUCUUACCAGACUGUUGCAGUUAAUGCAUCUGCGAUUAUGUUGAAGCUUGAGAAGACCCCGAAUCACGCGCUCGUUCUUCUCAUCUUCCUUCAUGCGACUCGCCAUCUCCUCCGCUGCUUCAAUUCUGCAGCUCAAAAACGUCACAACAAUCAAUAAACUAAUAAUUCAAAGGCAGAAAAAAGGAAACGCAUGGGAACAAGUUCGAAAUCAUGCAUCUAAAAAACCGAAGAAGAGAAAGGGAAAAAAUCGGUGAUUUCUUAGGCAACAAUUUUCCGCGGAAACGGAAAACAACAGAUCUGAGAAGAAGAGUAUUGAGCUUUUGCGAAAUUGAAGAAAGUGAUGUUUGAAGUUAACUAAACCCUAAGGAGUUGGGGAACUGAGCAGAGGAAACAGUUGGAGACUUCGAUUGAAGAGAAGAGAAGAGAAGAAAGAGGGUUGAAGCAGUCACGCACCACCGAAACAAAGAGAGAGAAACAAGAGUCGCAGAUCUUCCAAGUUCGUAAUGUAAUGACGGCUUUGUACAGCUAAGAGAGGUUUUAGCACCAAAAUUCUCUGUCUUUAACCGGUAAACAGUUACACCUUCUUCUCGAUAUAUUUUUUUACUUUUUAUAUUUAGUCGGGAAAACUUCGUGAUAAUUUCAUUAAAUCAUUUAAAUUGGGGAGAAAUCCAAAGACAUUGGUCUCAAACUUUAGGAAAAGCAUUCUACUAGUAUUUAAUUUAAAUAAUUUAAAAGGCGAACAAAUAAUUCUUAUUUAAUAUAUUUUUUAAAAGUAUAUACUAAUUAUUUUUUAUUUAUAUCAAUGAGAUAUCAAAUAAUUUUUUAUCAAUAUAAAAUUUAAUAGGCAUCAUCUACAUAAAAAGAAUUUUCAAUCUAAUCAUGAGUUUUGAGAUAAAACUAUUAAAUUAAAAUUGGAAGUUAUUAUUAAUAAAUAUAUAAUGAUAUUAUAAUCUAUUCAUAACUAGUAUAAAAGAAAGAAUCAUGUUCCUCUAAAAAAAAUUAUUCAGUGUCAUCAUUUUUUUAGACAUUUUUAUUUUUAAUUAUUAUAAUCACUAUAACAUUUAAUUUAACUUUCAAUAAUUAUGUCUUUUAAAAUAAGAUACACUUAAUUAUAUAUAUAUAUAUAUAUAUAGACAACUUUUCAAUUUAAAUAGAAUGUUUUUUCCACUAGUAGUAGGUAUAAUUUUAAAAAAAAAAUUAUUGUAAUAGUCCAAUAGGAUAAAUUAGUCUUAGAAUGGAUAAUGUGAGAGAUUUAACCUGACUCCAGAAACUAGUUCAAGGAGUGAGAGUUACCUUCACUUGUAUAUUUCAAUGCGAGAUUAUUUUUAACGGAUCUCGAACUUAAAUUAUUUCCAACAAUUAGAUUAUGUUAAGUAUUAACAAAUUAACAAAAAGGCUGAAUAACACGACCAUGGCUUGAUGCCUCUCAAAAAGAGUGGAUAACCCUGAGCAUAUAUUAGUUGAGCACGAGGUGUGUCCUAAGGAGAGCGAGAAUGGGGUGGCAUGGUUUAAAUUAGGCGUAAACAGAAUGUGAAUGGGUCUAUAACUAUUUAGUGGAAAUUGAAAGAACAGUGUUCACACCGUCAUGUUUGGUCAUACAUGCACGGCGACUAUUAAUAUAUUUGAUUUAACUUUUGAAAGCUCAAGAUCAUAGUUUGAAAUGAAUACAUGAAUUUUGUCCAAACUUCAAAUCAUGAUUUUGAAUUUCUCCAAAUCCAAACUAAACAUGCUAUGUAGACAAUAAACAUCUCAUGUCACUUCCAUUCUUCGUCAAGGUCUUCUUCUCUACGCAAAUUCGUAAAAUGCCAGACUGGUGUAAUUGUUUGGAUUGAAAAACUAGUGACUUGACCUCUCAGUUCAUCUUAUUCAACUCAAUUGUCAUUUUUUCAAUCAAAUUAGAGGCAGUGCCCACUUGAUCCACGGUAUAUAAAAAAAAAAGUGCUCGUUUAUUAAAAGUAAUCACGCAUUGUACAAAAAUCGUAAUUGUAAAAAAAAAAAAAAAGGUCACCACUGACAAGUGGCAGUUACAGUCUAAUUAUGGAUAGAAGUAGGAUAAAAUUGAUUUCAAUAGAAUAUGAAUGGUCUUUUAAAAAAUAGAAUAUGAAUGGUAAUUAAACGUAAAUUUAAUGAGUAUCCAUAGCCAAUAGGUCAUCGUUGAAGAAGAUAGAGCAUUGUAGAAGUCAUAUGAUUGGGUUUGGUCAUUUUUCUUAUUCUGGAUGCAAAAUAAAACCAGCCCAUAUUAGAAAUUUGAAAGAAAGAAAAAAACACAAAAGGAGGGUAUACAUAGAAGAAGUGAUAUUAUAUUAUAUUCUUAUAUAUGAUUAAAGGUCAUAGCAUUUUUUAUUUUUUUUGUGUCAAGGUCUAAGCAUUUGAUUACUCGAUAAACUGUUGUGUUAUAAAUGACAAUGAAGAUAACAUUGUUUUAAGGUAAAAAUGUCUAGUGAGAGAACUAUUUAACAGGUAUAGUAAAUACAUUUUUCAUACACACGAAUUUAAGGACAGAAUUAUUUAUCACAUACUUGAAAUUAAAUAGGUUAUCUAUUAAUCAUAUUAUAUCAUUUUUUUUUUAUAAAUAUAGUACUUAUAUCCAAUAGAAUUUAUCUGUCGGUGUAAGAUCAUUUGCAACGCUAAUGCAAACACCAGAUCUAUUUAUUAAACAAUAUUUUCUAACAAGACAUGAGCUUUAGAGUAAAUUAAUCUUGACAAGCAUUCGAUGCUUUUAUAAGUACUGAUUCUUAUUCUUUAACGAUGGCCAUCGUUUAUGUUAGUGUUAACUUUUAUUGAUUUGGAAAAAAAGAAAUUAAUUUAUGGCUUCCUAUAACAUUAAACUUGCCAUUUUCAUAUUUUUUUAAUUUUUUUUAUAUCAAUAUCAACAUGUAUAUGAAUGCGAGCAACAUCACAUUUUUUUACACAAUCAAUAUUUUCAAUUUCUCUAUUUUAUUCUCACAUCAAAAUUUCUUUCUCUUUUUUACACAUUCUCUCAAAGUUUUAUCUCAUCCAUUUUUGUUUUAUCCACAUAUUCUCCAAUCCUCAACUUCAUCUCAAUGUUCCAUGACUUAAUAAGAAAAAUUGUUGAUGAAAUAUAUGGAUGAUGGAGUAAUCAAUUUAAUGGUGACACAUAUUUGAUGAAAUUUUAUAAUCCCACGUGUAGUCAAUUCAAUUGUUUAGAGUGAGUUUCCGGACAUCAUCAGCUUGGUCUAAUCACAACAAUAAUAGGUAUAAUUAGUUAAUGUAUUUAAUCUGAUUGGAAGUUCACAUGGGAUUAUACACCACCAUGUUUCAUUAUAUAAUAAGUCCUUGUUUCGGGACAUGAGAUAAAUGUUUUACCCUUUGUUCAUCCGCAGAGUUAUACUACAAGGCUUCCAAUAACACAGGAAAAUUUGGUUAAUCAAAAUGGCAGAACAGAACAAAUUAUAUUAUAUUAUACUAUAAUCCUAGAGAUUUUCAUUUUUUAUUCUACUAAUUGUUGAGAUUCGAGCUGCACACUGCUCGUUUACGGUUGAAAUUUGUCAUUUAAUUAGUUAAAAGGAGAAGAGCACUGAAGGGGGAACAAUAUUAUGCUAUAUUUGAAAAAGUCUACAAAUAAAGAUACAUGCACAUAAGUUAGUCUUAGUGAAGCUGAUAGAUAUUAAUAUUAUCACGACAAAAAAAAUACAUAUAUGUAAGUCUAUAAUAACAAAAAUUACUUGAAUAAUAUUGUCUGUUGGUCCGAUGAUCACUGAAAACUUUCAUAUGACCCAUUUACUAGACUACUUAAAAGUAAAAGUAUGGUUUCUCUUGUUGUUGUUUUUUUUUUUUGGAUUAUUGAGAAAUAUUUAAUCUUAAACUAGUAAGAUAGUUAUUUGAAUUUUAAAGAUUUAAGAAAAUUUUAACUUAAACUAGUUUUUAGCUUUUUGAAUUAUGGAAGAUAUCCUCUCAUCACGCGUCCAAUUUUUCUUUACCGCCAAAUCCUGUGAUAACAACUAAUAUAUAUUUGUUCAUGGGCUGAGAUCCAAAGAGAAACAUUAAAAAUGAGUAUAAUAUCUGUUAAUAAGUCAGUAUAGAACUACAAAUCAUAAACACAUAUAUCUUGACCUUAAUAGAGAGAGUACACCUGCCUAUAGUUUUUUAUAUAAAAAAUGUGUUUAUUUGUAUUAUUACUGGCAAUACUUAAUAAUUUUUUCAUGAUCUUAUUUUCAUAUGAACACAAAAAAAAUGGAGUUGCUUAAAUUGGUUUUUAAAGUUAAGUAACUUAAAAAUAUCAUUGGAACAAAUGAAUUUUAUAGAAAUUGCUUAUAUAAGUAAUUAUCAUCAAGAUUGCUUAACUAUCAAAAUAUUUUUUUUUUAAAAAUAAAUUAAAGUUAUUGUAUGAAUAAAUUAAAAGAUAAAAUAAGACACCAAAAAUAAGUUAAGAACUUAGGUUUAGCUUAUGAUUAUUCAUAAAUCUUAUUAUAUGACAACAAGGGAUUCACUAAAAUAGAGUUAAGAGCUCAUAUUGAAUUCUUGUGUUGAAGAUGCUUUUAAUUGAUCUAAACAACCACCAAGUUCUUCGCAUCUUGAAUGAUAGUAUUAUUUAUGCAUUGGAAACUACCUUUUAAGUUAUUAACUAAUUCAUAAGUAAAUCAUCUUUUUUUUUUAAGAACACAAAUAAUCAUCUUAUAAACUCUUGUAUUAGUAUACACACGAGAUUCCAAACUCAAGCAACUACUACAACCUAAUACUUCAAUAUAUUAGAUUUAGACUCGCAACAUGAAUACUUUUUUUAACUUAUUAAAUUAAAAUAGAAUAUCCAAUUGGUCAAAUAUAUUAUAAUAAUAUAAAAAGAUUAUCAUGUACAGAGGUUAGAUGGUGACUAAAUUUUUGGUCAAUUAGCUUAAUAGGUCUGAUCCAUGUAAUAAUAUAUGAUUAUAUGUUAUGUCAUGACACUUUUUAAUAUAACGUAAAAUAUUUUUAAGUUGCUAGCUAACACAAAACUUAAACAGAUGGAAUGAUUAAAAAUUAUAGUUUUAAAGAAUAAAUUACUAAUAAAUACAUUUUUCAAUCAUAAAAAAUGUUUUACUCGAUUUAUUAUUUUAAUAUAAGCAACUAACUGGUACGUAGCAAUGUAGUCCCUCAUAGUGGAUCCUCUUAUGAGCCAACCAACUAUUCAACGUCAAGUCACGCACUACCGUUCAGUCCAUUCUGCUUCUGGUAUACAUAUGCAUUCCUCGACUCUUUUUUUUUUUAGCCAAAUGGAUUAUUUCCCAAAACCAAUUUUUAAAGUGAAUAUUUUAUAAAGUUGAAAAUAAUUUUUAUCACAUAGGAUAUAAGAAAAAUCAUCUUACCUUAUGUUUUUUAUUUGGUCGAGGAGCUAUCACCCACCCAUUUUAGAGAAGGUGUCAAUCAAAAUGCUAGAAGUGAAACGAAAAACAUAAAAUGUCUUUAAAUGGUGUCUCCUACCUCUUAUAUAGUAAAAAACACCUCAGAUAAAUAAAUAAUUUUAUAAAAUAUCCAUUUUAAUAAUUAAUUUUAUGAAAUAAUUCAUUUUACUAAAAACAAAGUCUCCAUUCCUCUAUGUUUUUAUCAUUAUAAAAUCAAAUAAAAAUUAAUUUAUAUAAUUCUUAAAAAAAGAUUUAAAAAAUAUAAUAAUAUGAAUGAGAGAAAUAAAAUGAUAUUCUUAAAAAAUAAUAUAUAAAUUAUAUAUGUAACUCUAAAUUAAAGGUGUUUCAUGCAAAAUGCUAUGAAUACACUGCAACAUGUUUGGUCUUUUUUGAACUAACGCUGAUAAAAUACAAGUGCCCUGCAAUUACCUCCUAGUUACAAUUAUUUUAUUCUUUUUACAAAAGCUACUAUUUCUUUUACGAAGCAACAUUUUUUUAUGAGAAAUAAUUUUAUUUAAGUUAAAUAAAAUUAUAACAAAAUUUAUCUUGAAUAUCUAAUAUAUAUACUUGUAUAUAAGAACUAAAAUUUAAGAUUGUUUUAAUUAAAUUAAAAUAAUUUUAUACCAAUUAAUUCAUGUAUUUGUAACAAUAGUUACUGAUGUGAAGUGACCGUGAAGUGAAAUUUUCUUCUGUUAGUUGUGUCUGAGCUUCAAUUCAUUCAUGUAUAACCACUUAAAGAAACUCUCUCUCUUUACUUUUUAUCCAUGCAGAAGCAAAACUCAUGUGACUAACAUAAACCUGACACAUGAGUUAGCCCUUAGCAUUUGUUUUUCAAAAUUCUUCUUCUGCUUCCAUUGAAAGGUUCCACUGUCACAUGGACCAACCUGUAGAUAAAAGAGCCUUUAUUUAACGCAAUUAUUCAAUGAUUCAAUAAUUCGUAAACGCUUCUUAUCUCAUGGCGUCCAAUAAUGCAUGCACCUCCUGUCCCAUCUUGCACCAUCAUAUAUUCAAGGGUCUUGCUUAUUCUAUCAUUUGUCCCUUUGCCUUUUUAGCCACCUAAAAUUCAGUUUAAAAUUGAUGCACCGAUCACCCCUUUUUUUUCUCCCAUACUGUCACUACAUGACAUAUUGACACAUUAUUAUGUAUUUUUUAAGUAAGAGUUGUUAAUUUUAAUUUUUAAAUAAUUUAACUAUACGUGAUUAUUUUUUAAAGAGAGAAUGUAUAUUUUUGAAGAGAAAUAAUCUUAUUUGAGUUGAUUAAAAUUAUUAUAAGUAACCAAAUUUUAUACUUAAAACUCAGAAUUUAAAACCAUCAAUUAAGUUAGAACAAUUUUAUGUUAGUUCAUCUGCAUAUACACUCAUAAAUUUACUAUAUGUAAUUGGAGAAUGAUAUAAAGAAAUUUACAUCAUAAACCAUUAAAAAAAAGCCCUUUAAAAAAAUUUAGUGACAUAAUCUAGAAUGUCAAGCAUGCCAAACCUUUCCAUCAAGUAUAUUUUCUAGUGAUUUAGGUCCAAGUACAGGAGUGACUUAUUUUUAAAUGUUUUUAUAGAUUAUUUAAUUCAUUUGUGUUGUCAAUUAAGCACUAUACACUAAUGUCAUAUGACGGUAGUUUACUUUGUAUCAACAUUAGUGAACUAAUAAGUCUCACCUUCUAAAUUAAAAAUAUUUGGCACACUUGUUCUUAUAUAUUUGACCCUUUUUCAAUGCUUAUAGUUCAUUAACUUGGACACAUCACAUGGAUCUACAUACAUAUUCCUUUCCUCCUACUUGGGCUAAGUCUCAUCACAUUCACUAAUAAAGUUUGUCAUUUCUAUUUCCAAUCCUGUGAUCCCUGUAUUCCUUUACUUAUGUUUUCCUUGAUCAUGUGACCCAAGUUUCUCCUCUUUUAAUACACUACUUAUGUUUUAAUUUCCAUAGCCAGAAUAGACUACUCUUAAACCGUGCUUCUCCUUUUAUGACACUUUUUAAUGUUUUUGUUUGUAGUGGGUUUGCACUAGGAAAUCACGUUUUCUAAAGCAAUUAUAUAUACAUUUACAAUUAUACCCAUUAUCUGAUUCAACAUAAUUAAAAUUUGUGAGUUAUGAUCGAUAAGAUUAGUAGUAGUAUAUAGUGACAAUUAAUGUCAUCCUAGUAGCAUCCUUGAUUUUUUAGUUUGGUCAAGUGCUUUUGGAGGUUCAUCACAUGACAAUAUCUAACCACACCGAAACUAUUUUCUAUUGUUAUUCCUCGUAAAAUAUAUUGGGUUCUGUGUUGCUUUUGGUUUCCCCAAUAAAAAUUGACCUUGAGCUUAUUUGUUGCCCCACUACCUUGAAGUCUCUCUCCUCCUUAAUAUAAGAUAUUCCUACAACCUUGCUUUGGUUGAGAUGAGACUCGAGACUUGUGUGGAAGGUUAGUUUAGUUGUUACAAGUGUGUCUUUCUUUCAACUCAGAUUUGCCUGUGACUGAGAACAGGACUUUGAAAUGGGGAAACUAGGGAGGGUGUUGGAUACCUUCUGUCUUUCUUUUGGUUCAAACACCUGUUUCUGCAUGAACUCCAUGGAGUUUGAAGAUGAGUUUGAGAAAAAGCCCUUGAUAGUAAGUGACAGUGAUCAUAAACUGAGAUUGAAGGAUGUUGUAGAUGGAAAGCAAACGUUGGCUUUUCAACUAAAACCCCAGGUGAGGCCUUUUUUCUUUUUGUUCCAUCUCUUAUUAUGAAACUUUGAUCUUUAACUGAAUUAAAUAACAUUGUGUGAUCCAUGUAGUCAAUCUCACCUAGUAGAAUAAGGCUUUGUUAUUGAUGUUGUUACAAUGAAUUUUCUAGUAUAACAUCAUUAGUCCUUCUCUCUUUCCAAAAAUGAAAAAAGAAAAUACAUGUUUGGUAUUAUAUUAUACAUCUAGUCAAGGUUGAUCUAAUAUCUUUCUGGUAACCAAACAUGCAGAUAGUGACAUUGAGGGUGUCCAUGCAUUGCCAUGGCUGUGCAAAAAAAGUUGAGAAACAUAUCUCAAAGUUGGAAGGUGAGCAUAUUGCCAUUUUUUUUCCUAAUCAUAAAUGUAACUCUGUAAGUAUGUAACAUUACUGUAACUAGUAGGCAUAUUAGCUUUUUGCUUUAUCUUUUUUCCCUAAAUUUCAUCAGAAGCUAAAGCAAAUUCUGUCAGAUAUUGUUGAACACUAAGAUGAACAGUGGGGUUGCCCAAAUGUCCACCACAGAAUAGAGAAUAUGUUAACCACUCCUUUUGACAACAUCUGCAAAAAGUCAACAUUAUUAUUGUUUAUUCUCAGUAUGUGUGUGACUGUGUGGUAUGCUUUGUAUCUACCUCUUUCAACAGGAGUGAGCUCAUAUAAGGUGGAUUUGGAAACAAAAAUAGUAGUGGUUAUGGGUGAUAUUCUUCCCUCUGAAGUGUUGCAGAGUGUAUCUAAGGUGAAAAAUGCGGAGCUUUGGAAUUUUCAAGCUAGUAAGGAAUAAUUUUGGACACAACAUCCAUCUUCAUCAGAUUCAAAUUCAACAAAGAUAGAUGUUGAAACGAAUUAAGGAGCUCUUAUUUUCUAUGUGCUUUUUGGUGUUGUAUAUAGUGUAUCAUGUUAAUACCUAUUGCCAAGCUCCAGAAAUUGUCGUGCAAGAAAGAAAAGUUAAAGAACAGAAGUGUUACUAUUAAUGUCUCUAUCUAUGAGACUUGAUGUGUUUUAACACAUUUGUGAUGGUGAUCAGAUGUAAGCCAUUUCCAUUAGUGAUUAAAAUUUUCCUUCUGUUUGACCAAGUUGUGCCAUAAAUAUAUGUCAUACUUCUUUGCAUUUUCUGUUUAUAUGUAGCAAUAUCUCUGCUCUUUUGAACCUUCUUUUUUGUUCUUUUGUACAGCUUUUUAGGGAGAAAUUAUUGUAUGCUUCCACAUAUUUAUGAUCUUAGUCAACUUCUACGUAACACACAUAGUAAAAUUUGGUUACAUGUUUGGUGAAGAUUGAUGGAAAUUAUAAACACACGGUGAUCUCAAACCAUAAAAUAAUUUCAAAUGUUUAAAAGCUUCUACCUCAAAUUUCGUUCCCAAAUAACAAAUAUGCUCGUGGAAGUUGGAAACUAGUAGUAAUGUGGCAGUGACCGGAACUUUGAGGCCACUGGAAAUACUGACAUAUGGUAACAAGGUAGAUAGUUCAAGCAGUGGUCAAAGUUUGACUUCAAACUCUUCUGGGGUGGCCACUGGCCAAUGAUGUUUAUACUUUAUAUUAUUAAAGGCAACAAAAGAUCUAUAGUUAUUGCUUGCAAAAUAAUUAAAAGAAAGGAGGAAAGAUUAAAAGGAAGAUCCAUUAUGCACGGCUUCUAUACUAGAUUACUAGUUUGAAUUACUAAACAAAAAUGUGUCCCUGCUAGCAAACAAAAUAAUUAUAUCAUGGCCACAGACUAAAAGAAGCUUAAUUGAGUCACAAGCAAAUGUGUUAAAUACAAAUACAGCAUGAAGGAAAAUGGUUUUCCUUACAUGCUUAAUAUAGCCGCCACCAUUAAAUAAAUGUAUGAUUUGUACUUUACCUUCUUUCUCACGCUAUUGAGCUCCCAUGUCACAAAUAAUCAAAGAGAAAAAUGCACAAGUACAAAUUUGCAUCACAAUUCUCUCUGUCAUGAAUCAUGAAAAAUAAAAGAGACAAAAGAAUAGGGGGGGGGGGGGGGGGAGGGAACGCAUCUCUUACUUAAAAGGGCUAAAUUUGUUUCUAACAUAAUGUAGGACAUGUGCAAGUUAUAAAAAGGACAAGGGACAUGUAUAAUGCUAGUUUGAGAGGUCCAGCUCUGUUUUGCUCCUCUAACUUUUUGGGCACGUUAAUAGAAUUAGAAACUAGUUUAGAAAAGUUGUUAAUUUUACAAAUCAAAGAAAUGAGUAUAUGUCACAUGCAUAGCACAAGCCAUAAGGUACUUGAUUUUCCUUACAAGAUUUCAGUUUUGAACUAUGAUUCUGUGAUUAGGUAAAUUUGUUCACCUCUUUACAUCCUUAAUUGGGUUUGCAUGAAUUAAGAAUGAUAAAAUAGGUUAACAUAUUUUGAUUUUAAUUUUCUCAACCGGGUCGGAAUGAGCUGACCCACUUUAAAAAUAUGGCUUGAAAAAUACAAUAUAUCCUAUUUAAGGGUGAAUUAGUCUCACAAAAAUAAUUUUUUUAAAAAUAUAUAAAAACUAAAAAUUAUCAAAGAAAAUAGUUUUGGGCUUCUACUAACUAUUAUCCUUAUCACAUGUUCAUAUAAUAGUUUUUAACUACAUUAUUUCAUCUAAUUCCUUUAAGGGACGAAUCUAGAGACUUACAAAAGGGGGAUUUAUUUUUAUAAUUAUUAAAUAUUUAUCUAUAUAUAUAAAAGAGGAAGUAGGCAUGGAGUAUUAUUGUUAAUUUCAUUUUCUCUACCACAAUUAGGGGUAGAUCAGUCAUUUAAUAGGCACUUAUGUGAGAUAAUUAAAUUGAAUUAAUUGUGCAGUUAUUAAAUAAAUUUAAAAUAGUAAGUUUUAAUUAUACAAUAUUCGAAGAAUAUGGAACUUUACUUUCCAAUGAACAAAAUAAAUGAAAAGUUUUGUGAUUGUUCAUUUCAAAAAUGCUCCGGAAUGGAAACAUGUUGCAAUUUAAUUUAAUAAAAUGUUAAAAACUGAAACGUGCAGCAAAACGUAAAUGUAGAAAGGAACAUGCAUACAUGUAUUGAAUUUUGAAAUUGAAAAUAUAUAUUAAUAAGAUUUUAAUUGAAAAUAUAUAUUAAUAAGAUUUUAAUUGAAAAUUUAACACAAUUCACUGAUUUCAAUUGUCAAUUAGCAUUUCUCAUAUAAAUUAACUGCAAUUGAGAGAAAUAAAGGGACACAAGAUUUGAAAGCACUACAGUGAAUUCUAAAGGAUUUUUAUUUUGGUAGUGAAUAUAUAUUUAAAGGUAUUUUAUUUUGUUCUUACUAUAACAUUCCUUUUUAUAUUUUUCCUUCUCUAUUUCAUUUUCAUUAUAAAAAUUGCUUUUAGAUUUUGUUUUAGAUUCUUACUUACAGAGGAAUCAAUUCGUGGUUUCUCUACCGAAAGGUAAUAUGCAAUGCAUGUGUGUUCUGAAAAAUAUUGAUUUUUUUUUUAUAUAUAUAGAAUAGAAGUUGAAGAGGAGGAAAAAAGAAUAGAGGAACACUACUAAAAAAAGCCCUUUUUAGGACGUACAAUUUAAGCGGUUUUGGAAGCUCUGAACCUCGAAGGACCUGCUGGAAGCUGACAUCCUCGAAGGACCUGCCCUAGGCUAAUCUUGCUUUACCUGUGCGCCGUGUUUCGUGGUUGCCUGUUUCGCGGUUGGCUUCGAAGCAUUGUGCGCCGUGCGCCCCGCCGUGCCCUAGGUUUUUCUUCUGUCCAAGUUAGGUUUGUCGCUUUACCCUUAUAGCUAGGUUGCUGGAAUUAAAUGUUUUUUAGUAUUAGUUUUGGUUGUUUGCAUAGUGCAUUACUGAUCCUCUUGUGUAUUUUUCUCGUCUAAGUCUGCUUUGAUUUCACUCUUGUUUCCAAAUGUUCCAAUUGCUAGUAAACCAUGAGGCCAAUCGCUGAAUUCUUCUCUAGGCUAGCUUUUGUUUUGCAUGAUCUGUGCAGAAACUAGUGUUAAUUUUUCUGAUUGGUUGAAUUGUAGAUAAUAUUGUGUCUGCCAGAUGAUGCUGAAGUGAGCAAUGAGAUAUGGGAUGAGGUGAUAGAGUGGAUGAAGGUUAGGGUGCAAACCCAAUGCAAUGCACGAAAAUGAUUUUUUUGGGGGGUUGUUGAUAUUUGGGUUCAUGAGUGAGAACUUCUAGCUAUCAUAAGAAUAUAGUUUCGAAAAUUGGGUAGAGGGGUAAGAGUUUCUACCUGGGCAAUGAGUGACUUGAUCAAUUCCUUUGCUGCUUUGCAUUUGGCAGUUUCUUCGCUUUGCUGUAUUGCUAUUGCUUCUUUUAACUGUUUACUUGUUCUUUCCAACUCAACUUCUUGAAGCUGGGCUUUCUGAGUCAUGUUUUCCACCUAAUAGGGGAUAAAAAAUUCAUCAGGCUCACUACAAAUAGAUAACCAUGAGAUUUCAUCAAGUUAUGGUUUAGAAAAAUAAAUGAACAUGGGAAGUAAAGUACUUCCACCCUAUCAAAGUGAGUUCAACAUCUUGUGGUGGUAUAGAAAACAUUGUUAAUUCCUGCCCAAGAGCUAUACUCCACAGAAAAACUAUCCUAGCCCAAGGCAGAAGCCGAAAUGCCGAAUGGAACAACAGAAAGAAAAGUCAUAGCCCUCCUGUUUUACUCCUAUAUAACUACCUCUCCACUAUUAGUGCAUCCCAACCAAAAAAGAAAUAUAACAGAUAAGACUAUGUGUCCUAGCCUAGUCUAUUUAAUUUUGGUUUGUUUCUUUAUUUCUCUAAUGUAAACCCUGCAUAUCCAAGGUCCAUCUCCUUGGGCUGCUACUAAUGGACCUGUAUCAGAACAAACCAUUAAAAGCUGAAGCUCAGCUCAUUUACUAAACAGGGUCAAAAAUUCAAUUCUCAAAUAAGACUCAAAUCAUGACUCAUGAGCCUAGCUUAUAGAGCUAACUGCAUCUUGAAUUGUUUGUGAGCUAGCUUCACUUAUCACUAGCUCUCUCUAAAACAGUUGCAUGCACAUGCUCUAACGUAACAAUAAUUAAAAAUUAAAAUUUACAUGACAAUAUUACAUGUCUGCACAUAUAUCUAAAUUAUAUAUUACCUGGCUUGUAAACUAUAUUCCAAUUAAAGCAUUAACAGAUAAUAUAAAAAAUAAUGAAGUUGCUUCAAAUUAAAUAUGCAUUUAGCAAGACACAGCAAAGCAUAAUAGCAAUUGGUAUAAAACAAAAUUAAUUUUGGAGUCUCUAAUCUUGCUUAGUGUCUUUGAAUGGAAAAUAGGUGCACAGAACAUUUUAGGAUUGCUGGUACACAUGUUAAUACUAAAUAUAUAUGCAGAGAUGUGAUGGAUCAUGACAUUCAAUUUUCCUAAAAUAUGAUGUGUUGGAUCAUGACAUUCUAUUAUCAUUGAUUGCUUGGAUGUUGUGUAAAAUUUUUGGUAACUUCCAUCAAUUGACAUCCCUACACCACAUUACUUAUGGCAACUCUUGCUUUCAACUUUCAACAUUAUUACCCACUUGUUUAAUUCAAUUCCUUGUUCCUAAGUUAGAUUUUUAUGUCCCUUUAGACUAUACUGUAAGUAAAACAGUCACAUAUAUAGAUUUGUUACUAGUGAGGCCUAACGCAAAAAUUGAGAGAAUUUUUUGUUAUUUUAAGUAUUAGACAUUUUAGUCGAGUGACCUUUUUUAUUUUAAAAAAACUAAUAACAAAUGUUGGUAGGCCUAAAGCUUCUCAAGCUUUAGUUGUUUUACCUUUGGGUUUGCCCUAUGGGCAUCAGCAUCUCCAACUGAGCGUCCCUGCUGUCAAGGGUUACAAAUAUUCUAUACAUUGUUUCACAGCUUCACAUACCCAUUUUUAAAUAAUUAACACAUUUGUAUGACAGAAUAAAAUUUUGAUUGAGAAUGCCAUGUAGUAUCACAAAUUUACAUCUACAUCAUCAAUGCUUGGUCCCAAUUUGAAACUCUACAAUUCAAUCAAGUCCUUCAUCUCUUUAUAAACAUCAUUACAGGCCUUUCCAUGUUUUGUUAGAAUACAUUAAGUAUAAUUCUCACAAAUCAGUAAGCCCAUGAUAGCAUUUAACGCAGAUCCUGAAACCGUUCUAUGAACUAAUCAAGAGUGAAACAACGAUGAUGAGAACUGCUUCUCAGAAAUGGGGCUACAUUCGGAUCAUGGCUGGUACAAUCUUUGGAGGCAUCCUUGGAUUCUAUGUCAUGCACCGCCUUGAAACUAACUACAAGGUUAGCAUAGCAUCACUCUCUUCUCAAUU